rnacentral:lncRNA from 1 species
UUGUAUAUAGAGAGAUUUACACUAGGAUGUCAAUACCAUCUGUAUAUUUUGUUGUUGUUGACACUGCCUUAUCAAACUAAAUAAACAAAAAUGAUUCUUAGAUCCUGCCUUGUUCCUAAGUUACAUAAGAUUUUUUGUGCCGAGGAGGGCUAGGGUAUAUUUACUAAGCUACAUACACUAGGAUGAUCUUUUCUCUUGACGAGGAGGGCUAGGGUUCCAGCCGAGAGGGAAGAGAGAAAACCCCAACUUGAACAAAUUUUAUAUUCCAAGGUGCGUGUACAAGUAUGUAUAUCCUUUUACAAAUAUGCAAAUCGUGCAUUUAGAUACCAUAACGGGAUACAAUGACCCUGAUGAUCAAUCACGAGCUUAUCAAGCAUGCAUGCACGAGCGAGGGAGCCCAUGCAAUGGAUGGAUGCAUCAGAUGGGGCAGGUGAAGUUGGUUGGGCACUUCUUGCCGCACUGGUUGAGGAGGAGGGUCAGGUCGAUGGGGACGUUGAGCUUGAUGCCGANNNNNNNNNNNNNNNNNNNNNNNNNNNNNNNNNNNNNNNNNNNNNNNNNNNNNNNNNNNNNNNNNNNNNNNNNNNNNNNNNNNNNNNNNNNNNNNNNNNNUCGGAUAGGAAAAAAUCUGAAAAUAUAAUAUGGAUGAACAUAUGAAAGAAUUAAAGAAACACACCUUGCUUUAUCACUAGGUAUAGAUAUACUCUUUGGUGAAUAGUAACCUAAAAUUGAAUUACGAGAAUUCUGAAUUUAUUUGUCAGCGUGAAAAAUUAAAUUAACUGUAUCAUUUGUCUUUUGACUUGUUUUUUUGCACAUGUCAACACGCUUAAGCUUUCCCAUUAAAAAAAUGCAGGUGGCAUUUGGGUGUGAUAAUAAACACAUAUAUAUUUUUAAAUUUUAUUUGAAGUUGAUAAAAUACAAUUUAACACGCAACAACAUAUAUAUACUAGCCGAAAGUAAUAUCUGUAUAAUGUGUAACUAUUUUGUUUUACUCAAUAUUUUUUUCAACUAAAUCUUCUAGGCUCUAUCUUGUACCACGACGUUCAAGCAGUAUUGAAAUUAGGACCGCCUAUACGUCAGAUAUAUGAAAAAAGAAUCUGUGUCAGCCAAUUUUCUAAGCCGUUGGAUGGCAGGAUCGUCCCUUCGUUCGGCCUCGCACAAAACACAUUAUGACUGACGCAAAAAAAAUACGUGUCCAUCCGUGCCAAUGAGCCAGUAUAAUAAACCUGUGGCCGACACAUGGCAUGGUGGUUGGUGAUGCAGUGGGCCAGCAGGGUCUGGCAGCGGAGAUCGUGGCGCGUUCCGGUGGCGACAGGGCCGACUGGUGGCACCGGCGGGUUCCCACAGGCAGGUUGGUGGCGACGCUGGGAUGGCUUGGUCAUAAUCGAGUCUUGCGAGCAGCGAGCGGUCGGUCACUUCUAUGCAGCGUGGCAAGCGGUGGUGCUGGCCUGGGUUGCGUGGAGAGGCGGGUCUGAUCGCGGCAAGACCGUCCCUUGGAGUGGGUGACGGCCAUUGUAGGCGGUCCUGGACCUGGCUGGAGGUGCUGGUCGGGUGCGGUUCCUUGUGCAGGCUGGGAGUGGAUGGUGUGGCUGCGGUUUCCCUGUCUGGUGGUUGGUCCUUGGUCCUUAGCUUUGCAGCUAUAUCGGCAAGUGUUGCGGUGGCGGCGGUAUGAAGCUUCUUGGAUAGUGCUACCAAGUCCAUGGAGGUGAGGUGGUGGGCUACGCGCGGAUGAAAAUCUUGCACGGCUUAGGUCGAGCCGGUGUUGGUGACACCCGUGGAUGUCAUUUCCUUCCUUGGAGGCAUCGUCGAGCGUGUUUGCCACCUCCUUCGUCCUCCAGGAGCUGUUAGGAGCAUUGUGUUUGAAGACAAGGCUGACUCCUCGUUGCUCUACUUCGGUGUCCGCCGCGGUCCUUGUUUUGAUCCUAAGUGGCACUAUAUAUGUCUGUCACCGGUUGUUCAAGACGGUGACUUUUCGGUGUGGAUCGAGUCCUGUCAUUGAUCUGCAUCUUUCUCUCACGCACUAAGGGUGGCUGGUGCGUCGACAAGAGACACUCUGCGGAAGUUAUUUGGUCUUCGGUGUUGUUCGGCGUCAGUCAAGACGCGGUGCUUUGUGUCGGUUCAGGAUAAGCUCUUUUGCAUUGUAGCUCGGUGGACGGUGCGGUUUAUCUUUAGGUUNNNNNNNNNNNNNNNNNNNNNNNNNNNNNNNNNNNNNNNNNNNNNNNNNNNNNNNNNNNNNNNNNNNNNNNNNNNNNNNNNNNNNNNNNNNNNNNNNNNNGAGUCCAAUUUCUUGCCGAAACAGAUACAUCUUCGUUUUCAAGGUCUGAAACAGGCUGAUAAACAUCCCUUAUGUACUCCUCUGGAGUUAUGACAUUGAUGAUAUUGGUCUCAACAUUUAUGGGAGUACCAGAGAUGUAAUGCUUGAUUCUUUGCCCAUUUACCACUCUAGGAAAAUUUCCUUCCGUGUUAUUGAUUUUGAUGGCACCGGAACGAUAUACUUCCUCGACAACAUAGGGACCUUCCCAUUUAGAGAGAAGCUUGCCUAUAAAGAAUCUCAACCGAGAAUUGUAUAGCAAGACAUAAUCACCUACAUUGAACUCUCGUUUCUGUAUUCGUUUGUUGUGCCAUCUCUUAACCUUUUCCUUGAACAACCUGGCAUUCUCAUAUGCCUGGGCUCUCCAUUCAUCCAACGAGCUGAUAUAAAACAACCACUUCUCACCGGCAAGUUUGAAAUCAAAGUUGAGCUCUUUGAUUGCCCAAUAAGCUUUGUGUUCCAGCUCAAGAGGUAAAUGACAGGAUUUACCGUAAACCAUUUUAUACGGUGACAUGCCCAUGGGAUUCUUAUAAGCAGUCCUAUAAGCCCAUAGUGCAUCGUCAAGUUUGCUUGACCAGUUCUUUCGACAUCUAUUGACGGUCUUUUGUAGGAUCAAUUUGAUCUCCCUAUUACUCAACUCCACUUGACCACUAGACUGAUGAUGAUAAGGAGAUGCAACUCUAUGGUUGACAUCAUACUUAGCUAGCAUCUUGCGGAAAACACCAUGAAUGAAGUGUGAACCGCCAUUAGUCAUCAAGUAUCUAGGGACUCCAAAUCUUGGGAAUAUGACUUCUUUAAGCAUCUUAAUAGAGGUGUGGUGAUCAGCAUUUUUAGUGGGGAUAGCUUCUACCCACUUAGUAACGUAAUCCACAUCAACUAAGAUGUGAGUGUACCCAUUGGAACUCGGGAAGGGUCCCAUAUAAUCAAAGCCCCAGACAUCAAAUGGUUCAAUGACAAGUGAAUAGUUCAUAGGCAUCUCUUGACGCUUACUGAUGUUCCCUAUCCUUUGGCAUUCGUCACAAGACAAGACAAACUUACGGGCAUCCUUGAAGAGAGUGGGCCAAUAGAAACCUAAUUGCAAUACCUUAUGGGCAGUUCUAUCUCCAGCAUGGUGUCCUCCGUAGGCUUCGGAAUGACACUUCUACAGGAUCUGUCCAUGUUCAUGUUCAGGCACACAACGUCUAAUAACACCAUCUACUCCUUCCUUAUAAAGGUGAGGAUCAUCCCACAAGUAGUGUCUCAAAUCAACGAAGAAUUUCCUCUUUUGUUGAUAGGUGAAACUGGGUNNNNNNNNNNNNNNNNNNNNNNNNNNNNNNNNNNNNNNNNNNNNNNNNNNNNNNNNNNNNNNNNNNNNNNNNNNNNNNNNNNNNNNNNNNNNNNNNNNNNCUUGCCGGUAAACGAGGUUGAAAUAGGUAUACGGAUACUGACGAUCGAAUCUCGGGCAAAUAACAUACCGAAGGACAAAGGGAAUGACAUACGGGAUUAUACGAAUCCUUGGCACUGAGGUUCAAACGAUAAGAUCUUCGUAGAAUAUGUAGGAUCCAAUAUGGGCAUCCAGGUCCCGCUAUUGGAUAUUGACCGAGGAGUCUCUCGGGUCAUGUCUACAUAGUUCUCGAACCCGCAGGGUCUGCACACUUAAGGUUCGACGUUGUUUUAUGCGUAUUUGAGUUAUAUGGUUGGUUACCGAAUGUUGUUCGGAGUACCGGAUGAGAUCACGGAUGUCACGAGGGUUUCCGGAAUAGUCCGGAAACGAAGAUUGAUAUAUAGGAUGACCUCAUUUGAUUACCGGAAGGUUUUCGGAGUUACCGGGAAUGUACCGGGAAUGACGAAUGGGUUCCGGGAGUUCACCGGAGGGGGGCAACCCACUCCGGGGAAGCCCAUAGGCAUUUGGGGGGGUCACACCAGCCCUUAGUGGGCUGGUGGGACAGCCCACCAAUCCCCUAUGCGCCAAGAGAGAAAAAAUCAAAGGAAAGAAAAAAAAAGGAAGAAGUGGGAAGGGGGAAGGACUCCCUCCCACCAAACCAAGUAGGACUCGGUUUGGGGGGGGGAGAGUCCUCCCCCUGGCUCGGCCGACCCCUUGGGGAUCCCUUGGACCCCAAGGCAAGGUCCCCCUCCCUCCUCCUAUAUAUAUGGGGCUUUUAGGGCAGAUUUGAGACGACUUUCUCACGGCUGCCCGACCACAUACCUCCAUAGUUUUUCCUCUAGAUCGUGUUUCUGCGGAGCUCGGGCGGAGCCCUGCUGAGACAAGAUCAUCACCAACCUCCGGAGCGCCGUCACGCUGCCGGAGAACUCUUCUACCUCUCCGUCUCUCUUGCUAGAUCAAGAAGGCCAAGAUCAUCGUCGAGCUGUACGUGUGCUGAACGCGGAGGUGCCGUCCGUUCGGUACUAGAUCAUGGGACUGAUCGUGGGAUUGUUCGCGGGGCGGAUCGAGGGACGUGAGGACGUUCCACUACAUCAACCGCGUUCACUAACGCUUCUGCUGUACGGUCUACAAGGGUACGUAGAUCACUCAUCCCUUCUCGUAGAUGGACAUCACCACGAUAGCUCUUCGUGCGCGUAGGNNNNNNNNNNNNNNNNNNNNNNNNNNNNNNNNNNNNNNNNNNNNNNNNNNNNNNNNNNNNNNNNNNNNNNNNNNNNNNNNNNNNNNNNNNNNNNNNNNNNUUCGCCACCUUUGCUCAAAGGGCCCAUUUCAUCUCCUCUCUGUGAGAAGAGUUUGCACCUUCUUCUCAGCCUCAAUCUUAAUAUUUCUAUCGGACAUAUUAAGAAGUGUAGACUUUGGUUUCACAUCUAACUCAUUAGUGAGCUGCGUCGGCCUCUCUUUUUCCACUUUGUAUAUGCCACUUUGAUUCUUGGCCCAGCCUCUCAAGUAGAAUUUAGUGCAGCACACUAAUUAUUAUUGACUGCGGGUUCAAAGUAGAACUUACUCGCACCACGCAUAUGCAUGUUUGUUAGCAUCUAAAUAUAUUUUGAGUUUAAUUCGCGGAUCACCUUAGUAUUUUAUAUAACCAUCAUCAAUUUUCCUUUUUGAUGGUGCAUUAUUGUAGCUUAAGCUUAAAAAAUCCAUCCAAAUGUGUUACUAUAGUUGUAACCCAUUCUACAUAUAUCUAAGAAAUUGAUCACCACUAACUUAUUUAUCUCAAUAUACAAGCAUAUGCCAGAUCACCAUAUAAUGGACAGGAUAAGAUCUACCUCAGCAUGCAACCAUGUAUCAAAAAAGACCCAAUACCACACGCUACCAUGGAGGUCAAAAUAUUUUUCAUUCAUUUUUUAAGAAAAGGAUCAGAUCUUCUAUAAAAGUUCAUCAAAAAUACAAAGCAUCUCAAACAUAAUAAAAAUUAGAAUGAGAUUCCGAAACCACCGAAUAACCACUAUUACUGACAGAACGUGUCGCCGAUGCAUUGUUGUUGCCGCUCCCCUACUGGAGCAAACUUGACACUGACGAUGACAACCGACAUAUCUUCCCGCACAUGCACGUAAGGACCAACACCCUGGCACCAUAGUUGUCGUUAUUGAACCAUUUCAUAGAUCUGAAGCAACAUGCACCAAAUCUCGUCAGAUGAUGAGAAACCCUAACCUCAUCGCGAGGAGAAGACAACAUGAUUCUACGCCGGAGCUCCGUCGACUAUAUCUAGACGGACAAAAACUUAAUGAGAAUGGGAGCCUAAAAAGAAGCGUCACCAUCCUUCCGAACGCCACAAUGAUAACAACACCGCCAACAACAACCAAGCCUUUCAGUCCCAAAGAAGUUGGGGCAGGCUAGAGUUGAAACCCAGAAGAUCUCGAAGCCAAGUCAUGGCUCUGGAACGUGGAUAGCUAACUUCCNNNNNNNNNNNNNNNNNNNNNNNNNNNNNNNNNNNNNNNNNNNNNNNNNNNNNNNNNNNNNNNNNNNNNNNNNNNNNNNNNNNNNNNNNNNNNNNNNNNNAACGUAGCAAGCAAAGAGUAACAAGUAACAAGUAGUAGAAACAGUGCAGCAAGUGUCCCAAUCCCUUUUGUAGCAAGGGACAAGCCUGAACAAAGUCUUAUAGGAGGAAAAACGCUCCCGAGGACACACGGGAAUUUCUGUCAUGCUAGUUUCAUCAUGUUCAUAUGAUUCGCGUUCGUUCCUUUGAUAGUUCGAUAUGUAGGUGGACCGGCGCUUGGGUAUUGCCCUUACUUGGACAAGUAUCCCACUUAUGAUUAACCUCUCUCGCAAGCAUCCACAACUACAAAAGAAGAAUUAAGACAAAGUCUAACCAUAGCAUUAAACUAGUGCAUCCAAAUCAGCCCCUCACGAAGCAACGCAUAAACUGGGGUUUAAGCUUGUGUCACUCCAGCAACCCAUCAUCUACUUACUACUUCCCAAUGCCUUCCUCUAGGCCCAAAUAUGGUGAAGUGUUAUGUAGUCGACGUUCACAUAACACCACUAGAGGAAAAACAACAUACAUCAUAUCAAAAUACCGAACGAAUAUCAAAUUCACAUGACUAUUAUCAGCAUGACUUAUCCCAUGUCCUCAGGAACAAAAGUAACUACUCACAAGACAUAAUCAUAAUCAUGACCAGAGGUGUAAUGAAUAGCAUCAAGGAUCUGAACAUAAACUCUUCCACCAAGUAAUCCAACAAGCAUCAACUACAAAGAGUAAUCGACACUACUAGCAACCUUACAAGUACCAAUCGGAGUCGCGAGACGAAGAUUGAUUACAAGAGAUGAACUNNNNNNNNNNNNNNNNNNNNNNNNNNNNNNNNNNNNNNNNNNNNNNNNNNNNNNNNNNNNNNNNNNNNNNNNNNNNNNNNNNNNNNNNNNNNNNNNNNNNUGGAUAGCUAACUUCCACGCACCCCUGUCCAUGGCUAAGUCGUUGUCGAUAUUCCAAACCUUCAGGUCUCUCUUAACGGACUCCUCCCAUGUCAUGUUUGGUCUACCACGACCCCUCUUAACAUUCUCAACAUGCUUUAUCCGUCCGCUAUGCACCGGCGCUUCCGGUGGCCUCCGUUGAAUAUGUCCAAACCAUCUGAGACGAUGCUGGACCAGCUUCUCUUCAAUUGGUGCUACCCCAAGUCUCUCUCGUAUAUCGUCAUUCCGUACCCGAUCCUUCCUUGUGUGGCCACAUAUCCAUCUCAACAUGCGCAUCUCUGCUACACCUAACUGUUGGAUAUGUCGUCUCUUGGUUGGCCAACACUCCGCGCCAUACAACAUCGCAGGUCGGAUAGCUGUCCUAUAAAACCUGCCUUUUAGCUUUUGUGGCACUCUCUUGUCACAAAGUACGCUAGAAGCUUGGCGCCACUUCUUCCACCCAGCCUUGAUUCGGUGGCCCACGUCUUCAUUGAUAUCGCCAUCCUUCUGCAACAUGGACCCCAAAUAUUGAAACGUCUCUCUCUCCGGUACCACCUGCCCACCAAGGCUAACCUCUCCAUCCUCGUGCCUAGUAGCACUAAAACUGCACCUCAUGUAUUCGGUUUUAGUUCUACUAAGCCUAAAACCUUUCGAUUCUAGAGUCNNNNNNNNNNNNNNNNNNNNNNNNNNNNNNNNNNNNNNNNNNNNNNNNNNNNNNNNNNNNNNNNNNNNNNNNNNNNNNNNNNNNNNNNNNNNNNNNNNNNUGCACUCUGCAGCAGACAACAUGCACAUAGGAGUACUCUUCUUGAAAACUAAAGGAAAGUCUCGUGGCACAGCUCUCAGGUUUUUGUUCAUUAGCGAACACAUUAAGCUCCAAUGAUGGAUGUCACACACGUAACAUGCCAGUACAAUAAUGGUUGCACAUGAGUUUUGGAAAGUACCACGGCAACACGCAAACUAACUACGUCGAUUGAUAAUGACAUGAACGAGGCACUUGCACACCCCACCCGGUCUAUAAGUACCACGCCAAACAACCCAAGAAAACCAUCCCAAGCUAGCAUAGCCUACAAGCUUAAUUAGCCACAUACCAAAGGGCCUCCUGCCUGGGCUCACCGCACCGGCCACGUGGAGGCCCAUCUGUCCCGGUUUAUGCAAGAACCGAGACUAAAGGUUUAGGGCAUUAGUACCGACACUUUAGUCCCGGUUCAAAAAACGGGACAAAUGGCCCUCACGAACCGGGACAAUAGGUCCUUUUUCUACUAAUGGGAUAAGCUCUUUUGCAUUGUAGCUCGCUGGACGGUGUGGUUUAACUUUAGGUUUGUCCUUNNNNNNNNNNNNNNNNNNNNNNNNNNNNNNNNNNNNNNNNNNNNNNNNNNNNNNNNNNNNNNNNNNNNNNNNNNNNNNNNNNNNNNNNNNNNNNNNNNNNGGAUCCAAUAUGGGCAUCCAGGUACCGCUAUUGGAUAUUGACCGAGGAGUACCUCGGGACAUGUCUACAUAGUUCUUUAAUCGGACUAUUGACUUUAGGUUUAUGGAACGAAAUAUCAAGGGGUUUCUAGAAAACAUAGAAGAUUUUCUGGACUCACUUAAAACAGGACAGUAGGUCGUUUAACCGAAAGGUUAGGAUGUUUUUAGUAAAAUACAAAAUAUUUUUAAGAUUCACUUAAAAUCAGGACCGUGAAAGAAACAAUUGGGUUUAUUUGUUUCCAAAAGGUACGACGGACGGGUAGAGACAUUUAUCCUUUUAUUAAUAAGUAUAGACAUAGACUAGUGAUCUAGAAUAAAUGUAUUAUACUCCCUCCAUUUCUAAAUAUAAGUGUUUCUAGAUAUUUUACUACGAACUAUAUACGGAUGUAUAUAGACAUAAUUUGAAUUGUAGAUUCAUUUAUUUUUAUUGGUAUGUAGUUCAUAGUAGAAUAUUUGAAAAAAAACUUAUAUNNNNNNNNNNNNNNNNNNNNNNNNNNNNNNNNNNNNNNNNNNNNNNNNNNNNNNNNNNNNNNNNNNNNNNNNNNNNNNNNNNNNNNNNNNNNNNNNNNNNAAAAAUCUUGCUGAAGAUUUUCUUCUUCUCCAAUGCCACCUUUUACAUCUUGACGUUCUAGCUGAUCCAUCAAAAAUUCAAGGAUGCAUGCAUCGUACUACUGAUUAAUCCGCAAGACAUAGGUACACUGGUAGAUGUCAUAAGUGCCUGCAGGCAUACUUACGUUUUUCUUUAUACAAUCGCAGAUGUUCAUAGCUCACGUAUACACGUACAUACACUCACCUAUAUAAACAUACACACGCAUCCUAUAUCUAGAGGGCCUCCAAGAUAUUGAGUUAGCACAACAUUUGAGAUUGACGAAGUUAUCAGAGACGUUUCAUGGUAGAUGGAAACAUCUUCUUUCACUGAACGAACAUCGCCAUGUGACAUUUAUCGUAAGCAGUUCAAACUUAUUAAGGAAAGAGUUGAAUAAAAAUAGAAAAUUUUGAGCAUUGGUGACAAGUCUAACUGGUGGUCUGAUUCCACCACAAGUAACCUAACUAUUUUACCUAUGCUCAAAUCGCUACUUAAGUUAGCAUAAUAUAUUCUAUAGUGAAUAUGUACAAAUCAUCCAUUGUUGUAUCUUGUUGUGGCAUCUAACUGACUCACCUGUUCAUAGAAGGACACACAGAAUAAUAAUAAAAAGUGAAUUCCGGUUUUUACCUUCUAUUUUAACAUUUUUGACACUACUUACCCGAUUUAACGGGAUUUCAUCCGUUUUAACCCACUUAUCAAAAAUGUUCCCAAAAUUUACCUUGCAUAAAAUUUUGUGAGCGUUUUGACCGAUGGGUCUCAAUUGUAAAGUUCAACUGGCAUGUCACAUCAGUGGGGUUUUUCUCAUGGUUUUUCUGCACGUCGAACCACAUCGCCUGCCAUCUCCUGACCGGUCAGGCUCGAUAUGAUUCCAACAGAGCAGCUCCCCGGAUGGCCAAGUCGCCCAGGUCGGGCCACACCACACCAUCCUCCGUUGUUCACUACACGCAUCGCUCGCAUUCCAAUCACACGCAAGAUCCCGCCAUAGUUUGGCCAAAAAUUGAUGUCUCAUUUGCUAGGAGGGGAAGGACGAGGUAGGGGACGAGCGGCAGGCAAAACUUCAAGGCAUGGCUAUUGGCAAUCAUCGGAGCCAAUACGACAAUCUUCUCCCCUCCCAUGCAUGGCUCCAUCCUCUCCAGCUCAACCCAGGUGGUUAUGUUUUUAUGGCUAGAUUUUCUCUCUGUCCGAGAUGCAUAUUUGAUAGGUUUAGGCUCCUUGUUUCCGGUUCGAAGAAGUAUGGUGAUGAAAUGACCUUACUUCAUAAGUAUGGCAUGAUCCCAUUGAAUAAAUUGUAGGAGAAAUUGUUACUGAUAUAAUCAUGUAUGUUUUUCUACAACAUUGUCAUGUACGGCCCUAAGUAUGCAUGAUUAUGUGGAUGAGAUUAAAACUGGUGUGUAAAUAUACUACUUCGCUUACUUUGAUGUACGUACGUAUCUAAAUACCUAGUCAAGUAGCGAAUGUGUUGACCUGUAGUGAGUCGGUAUAUAUUUCCCAAGCUACUCUGUGCAAUCAUAUCGUGUCUGAACGAUCAGGAAAAUUUAUGGCGAUGUGGUUCGGUAUGUAGAAAAAACAUCACAAAAACCCCGUCGAUGUGGCAUAUGCCAGCUGGACCGUACAAUUGGGACCUAUCGGUNNNNNNNNNNAGGGUAAAACGGAUGGAACCCGCUUAAUGAGGUAAUUAGGGUCAAACAUAUCAAAACAGGGGUAAAAACCGGAAUUCACUCUAAUAAAAAAUUGGUCAAGUUGUGUUAACNNNNNNNNNNCAGAACAUUUAUAAAAUCUUAAACAGGGUAAAUUGUGACGACACAUUUGUUAAAUGGGAUAAAACGGAUGGAACCCGUUUAAUGAGGUAAUUAGGGUCAAACAUAUCAAAACAGGGAUAAAAACCGGAAUUCACUCUAAUAAAAAAUUGGUCAAGUUGUGUUAACUCGGCCUGUGAUAUAUGGCAACUUAUUGUGUAGUAUGUACGCAAGUAUGCAAGAUUGAAUGAAUCAUGAUACAAUCAACGUAUUUUGGCAUUCACUUGCUACAUCUUGUUUCUGUUCUUUUUUUCCUGUUUUUUAUCAUCUUGUGUUAACUCCGCCUAUGUUAUCUCAGCAUAGCCGGUCNNNNNNNNNNGUGUUCUUUUUUUCUUGUUUCUUAUCAUCUUGUGUUAACUCCGCCUAUGUUAUCUCAGCAUAGCCGGUCCCAAGACCGGGUAAAGGAGGAGGGUUGUGAUAGGCGUGGCGAGCCAACAUGAAAAACCCAGCCACUCUUAUGGAGAUGAAACCCAAAGGAAACUCGUUGGGGGCGUAACCCUCUUAGCGACGGGCCACAUCGGAACCCGGGUGUGGUGUCAAAUGGGCAAGGGCCGGGCCGUCACCCCCUUGGUGGCGCGCCGUAUCUUGAUCUGGAUACGGUGAUAAGUGAGCAAGGGUCGGGUCGCCGCAUCCUUAGUGGCGCGCUNNNNNNNNNNAGAGAUGAAACCCAAAGGAAACUCGUUGGGGCGUAACCCUCUUAGCGACGCGCCACAUUGGAACCCCGUUCUGGUGUCAAAUGGGCAAGGGCCGGGCCGUCACCCCCUUGGUGGCGUGCCGUAUCUUGAUCUGGAUAUGGUGAUAAGUGAGCAAGGGUCGGGUCGCCGCAUCCUUAGUGGCGCGCUGCACCGACGCCCCGGUGUAGUAAAAAAUGAGCAAGGGUCUUCGCAUUUGACUCGGCGAGUGCGGAGGGUAAGGAAGUUAGCCGAGCCUAGGAGGAUACGCUUAGGUAGCUGGAACGUAGGGUCCCUAACGGGUAAGUUACGGGAGCUAGUUGAUACGGCGGUGAGGAGGCGUGUUGAUGUCCUAUGUGUCCAAGAGACCAAAUGGAAGGGACAAAAGGCGAAGGAGGUGGAGGAUACCGGCUUCAAGUUGUGGUAUACGGGGACAACUUCAAACAAGAAUGGAGUAGGCAUCUUGGUCAACAAGAGCCUUAGGGAUGGAGUUGUGGACGUUAAGAGGCAAGGGGAUUGGAUGAUCCUUGUCAAGCUGGUAGUUGGGGACUUAGUCCUCAAUGUUAUCAGCGCGUAUGCCCCGCAAGUAGGCCACAAUGAGAGCACCAAGAGGGAGUUCUGGGAAGGCCUGGAGGACUUGAUUAGGAGGGUACCUAUUGGUGAGAAUCUCUUCAUAGGAGGAGACUUCAAUGGCCAUGUGGGUACAUCUAACACAGGGUUUGAAAGGGUGCAUGGGGGCUUUGGCUAUGGCAUCAGGAACAAAGAAGGAGAAGAUGUCCUGAGCUUCGCUCUAGCCUACGACAUGGUUGUAGCUAACACCCUCUUUAGGUAGAGAGAAUCCCAUCUAGUGACGUUCAGUAGUGGUCUACACUCUAGCCUGAUUGAUUUUGUCCUCUCUAGAAGAGAAGACAGACGCGCUUGCAUUGAUUGUAAAGCGAUACCUGGAGAGAGUGUUGUCCCUCAACAUAAGCUUGUGGUUGCUGACUUCCGCUUUAGGAUUCGUGUCCAACAGGAUAAGCAUGCCAAAGUUGCUAGAACGAAGUGGUGGAAGCUCAAGGGGGAGGCAUCCCAGGCUUUCAGGGAGAGGGUCAUUAAGGAGGGCCCUUGGGAGGAAGGAGGCGAUGCAAACUUGAUGUGGACGAGUAUGGCGACCUUCUUGCGGAAGGUUGUUGUAGAGGAGUUUGGGGUGACCAAGGGAAGUAGAAGGGAAGCUAAGGACACCUGGUGAUGGAACGAUGAGGUCCAGAAGGUUAUUAGGGAGAAGAAGGACUGUUUCAGAUGCCUAUAUCUGGACAGGAGUGCAGCUAACAUGGAGAAGUAUAAGGUGGCAAAGAAGGCUGCAAAGCGGGCGGUGAGUGAAGCGAGAGGUCAAGCGUAUGAGGACCUCUACCAACGUUUAAACACUAAGGAAGGUGAAAGGGACAUCUAUAAGAUGGCCAAGAUUAGGGAGAGGAAGACGAGGGAUGUCGGCGAAGUCAAAUGCAUCAAGGACGGAGAUGAUCAGCUUCUUGUGAAGGAUGAGACGAUCAAGCGUAGAUGGCGGGAGUACUUUGACAACCUUUACAAUGGAGAGGUUGACAGCUCUACCAUUGAGCUAGACGACUCCUUUGAUGAUACCAGCAUGUGCUUUGUGCGAUGUAUCCAGGAGUGUGAGGUUAAGUACGCGUUAAAAAGCAUGAAAGUAGGCAAGGCGAUGGGUCCUGAUGGUAUCCCCAUCGAGGUGUGGAGAGGCCUUGGAGACAUAGCGAUUGUAUGGCUAACUAAGCUUUUCAACCUCAUUUUUCGGUCAAACAAGAUGCCCGAAGAAUGGAGGCGGAGUAUUUUAGUACCAAUCUUUAAGAACAAUGAGGAUGUUCAAUGUUGUACUAAUUACCGCGGAAUCAAGCUGAUGAGCCAUACUACGAAGUUAUGGGAGAGAGUCAUUGAACACCGCUUAAGAAGGUUGACAAGCGUGACCAAAAACCAAUUUGGUUUCAUGCCUGGGAGGUCUACCAUGGAAGCCAUCUUCUUGGUAUGACAGCUGAUGGAGAGAUACAGGGAGCAAAAGAAGGACCUUCAUAUGGUGUUCAUUGAUUUGGAGAAGGCCUAUGAUAAGAUACCUCGGAAUGUCAUGUGGUGGGCCUUGGNNNNNNNNNNAUCGAUCAACUGGCUAGCCAACUAGAGGCAUGCUAGGGACGGUGUUUUGUCUAUGUAUCCACACAUGUAAAUGAGUCUUCAUUCAAUACAAUUAUAGCAUGGAUAAUAAACUAUUAUCUUGAUACAGGAAUUAUAAUAAUAACUAUACAUUUAUUAUUGCCUCUAGGGCAUAAUUCCAACAAUAUGGUGUUCAUUGAUUUGUAGAAGGCCUAUGAUAAGAUACCUCGGAAUGUCAUGUGGUGGGCCUUGGAGAAACACAAAGUCCCAAUAAAGUACAUUAUCCUCAUCAAGGAUAUGUAUGAUAAUGUUGUGACAAGUGUUCGAACAAGUGAUGGCGACACCGAUGACUUUCCGAUUAGAAUAGGGCUACACCAAGGGUCAGCUUUGAGCCCUUNNNNNNNNNNCCCUCAUCAAGGAUAUGUAUGAUGAUGUUGUGACAAGUGUUCGAACAAGUGAUGGCGACACUGAUUACUUUCCGAUUAGAAUAGGGCUACACCAAGGGUCAGCUUUGAGCCCUUAUCUUUCUGAUUUGGUGAUGGAUGAGGUCACAAGGGAUAUACAAGGAGAUAUCCCAUGGUGUAUGCUCUUUGCGGAUGAUGUGGUGCUAGUCGAUGAUAGCCGAAUGGGGGUUAAUAGAAAGUUAGAGUAUGGAGGCAGACUCUAGAAUCGAAAGGUUUUAGGCUUAGUAGAACUAAAACCGAAUACAUGAGGUGCAGUUUUAGUGCUACUAGGCACGAGGAUGGAGAGGUUAGCCUUGGUGGGCAGGUGGUACCGGAGAGAGACGUGUUUCAAUAUUUGGGGUCCAUGUUGCAGAAGGAUGGCGAUAUCGAUGAAGACGUGGACCACCGAAUCAAGGCUGGGUGGAUGAAGUGGCGCCAAGCUUCUAGCGUAGUCUGUGACAAGAGAGUGCCACAAAAACUAAAAGGCAGGUUUUAUAGGACAGCUAUCCGACCUGCGAUGUUGUAUGGCGCGGAGUGUUGGCCAACCAAGAGACGACAUAUCCAACAGUUAGGUGUAGCAGAGAUGCGCAUGUUGAGAUGGAUAUGUGGCCACACAAGGAAGGAUCGGGUACGGAAUGACGAUAUACGAGAGAGACUUGGGGUAGCACCGAUUGAAGAGAAGCUGGUCCAGCAUCGUCUCAGAUGGUUUGGACAUAUUNNNNNNNNNNNNNNNNNNNNNNNNNNNNNNNNNNNNNNNNNNNNNNNNNNNNNNNNNNNNNNNNNNNNNNNNNNNNNNNNNNNNNNNNNNNNNNNNNNNNUCUUGUUUUUUAUCAUUGUGGCGUUCGGAAGGAUGGUGACGCUUCUUUUUAGGCUCCGAUUCUCAUUAAGUUUUUGUCCGUAUGGAUAUAGUUGACAGAGCGCCGACGCAGAAUCAUGUUCUCUUCUUCUCGCGAUGAGGUUAGGGUUUCUCGUCAUAUGACGAUUUUGUGCAUGUUGCUUCAGAUCUAUGAAAUGGUUCAAUAGCGACUACUAUGGUACCAGGGUGUGGGUCCUUACGUGCAUGUGCGGGAAGAUAUCUCGGUUGUCAUCGUCAAUGCAUCGGCGACACGUUCUGUCAGUAAUAGUGGUUAUUUGGUGGUUUCGGAAUCUCAUUCUAAUUUUUAUUAUUUUUGAGAUGCUUUGUAUUUUCCAUGAACUUUUAUAAAAGAUCUGAUCAUUUUCUUAAAAAAUGAAUGAAAAAUAUUUUGCCCUGCAUGGUAGCAUGUGGUAUUGGGUCUUUUUUGAUACAUGGUUGCAUACUGAGGUAGAUCUUAUCCUGUCCAUUAUAUGGUGAUCUGGCAUAUGCUUGUAUAUUGAGAUAAAUAAGUUAGUGGUGAUCAAUUUCUUAGAUAUAUGUAGAAUGGGUUACAACUAUAGUAACACAUUUGGAUGGAUUUUUUAAGCUUAAGCUACAAUAAUGCACNNNNNNNNNNUGUGAUCACUGUCUUAGAUAUAUGUAGAAUGGGUUACAACUACAGUAACACAUUUGGAUGGAUUUUUUAAGCUUAAGCUACAACAAUGCACCAUCAAAAAGGAAAAUUGAUGAUGGUUAUAUAAAAUACUAAGGUGAUCCGCGAAUUAAACUCAAAAUAUAUUUAGAUGCUAACAAACAUGCAUAUGCGUGGUGCGAGUAAGUUCUACUUUGAACCCGCAGGCAAUAAUAAUUAGUGUGCUGCACUAAAUUCUACUUGAGAGGCUGGGCCAAGAAUCAAAGUGGCAUAUACAAAGUGGAAAAAGAGAGGCCGACGCAGCUCACUAAUGAGUUAGAUGUGAAACCAAAGUCUACACUUCUUAAUAUGUCCGAUAGAAAUAUUAAGAUUGAGGCUGUGAAGAAGGUGCAAACUCUUCUCAGAGAGAGGAGAUGAAAUGGGCCAUUUGAGCAAAGGUUGCGAAGGUGCACCCGAAGAGAAUUUUGUUUUUCUGGAUUAGAGCACAACAAGUGACAUUCCUCAACCCAGUUCAGAUGAGAACGAGGUUUUGCCAGCCCCAUUUAGGGAUGAAGAGAUGUUUGACACAAUAUCACAAAUGAAGCCAAAUAAGGCACCGGGACCAGAUGGGUUUCCGAUGGAAUUUUAUAAAAAGUGUUGGCAUAUUAUUAAAGAUGAUAUUUUGCAUAUGUUCCAUGAUUUGUUUAAUGGGCAUUUGCAGCUAUUCCACCUUAACUUUGGAAUAAUAAUGGUGUUUCUAAAGAAGGUGNNNNNNNNNNNNNNNNNNNNNNNNNNNNNNNNNNNNNNNNNNNNNNNNNNNNNNNNNNNNNNNNNNNNNNNNNNNNNNNNNNNNNNNNNNNNNNNNNNNNUCAGUUAAACUCAAAAUAUAUUUAGAUGCUAACAAACAUGCAUAUGUGUGGUGCGAGUAAGUUCUACUUUGAAUCCGCAGGCAAUAAUAAUUAGUGUAGUGCACGUAAAUUCUACUUGAAAGGCUGGGCCAAGAAUCAAAGUGGCAUAUACAAAGUGGAAAAAGAGAGGCCGACGCAGCUCACUAAUGAGUUAGAUGUGAAAGCAGAGUCUACACUUCUUAAUAUGUCUGAUAGAAAUAUUAAGAUUGAGGCUGAGAAGAAGGUGCAAACUCUUCUGAGAGAGAGGAGAUGAAAUGGGCCCUUCGAGCAAAGGUGGCGAAGGUGGACCAUGGAGAUGAUAAAACACAAUUCUUUCACAUGAUUGGGAAUGGCAAACAUAGGAAGAAGAAAAUAAUUCAACUUGAACACGAUGAGGAUAAAAUUGUAGGAAAUGAGAACCUAAAAUUGUACAUCUCCGAGUAUUAUAAGAAACUUUUUGGUGCAUCCGAAGAGAAUUUUGUUUUUCUGGAUGAGAGCACAACAAGUGACAUUCCUCAACCCAGUUCAGAUGAGAAUGAGGUUUUGUCAGCCCUAUCUUUAGCCGAUUUGGAUGGUAAACUAAUAAUUGGCUAGGUGUAUAGGCAUCGUAGAUUACUUAUGGUUUCGUCGAAUGUGACAUCAUUUAUUUUCUAUACUUUGUGUUUUGCUCAUAUUGUGAGCUAAUUGUUGCUGCAUUACUUUGCUCUUGAACUUAUUUAGUAAUAAUAUGGUUGCAUGCAUCGAUUGAUGCAGAGUUUGAAGGCUACGUGCCUCCAUUAAAAAAAGUAAAUUCUACUUUGAACAUGCGGACAAUGAUAGUUAUGAUAUGGUGACCCUUCGGACAAGAUUUUGGUAUUUGCGAAUGCUGAGGUGUAUUCCGUCCGGCACCUAGCAAGGCUGCAGGAACCACACCUUAUUUGUGAAGCAUAGGUUUUACCUAGGUCCGGAUCCUUGCAUGAUGACUAACAACACUAACCAUGUUUGUCUGGAAUUACAUUCUCAAGGAGUUACAGAGAUCAAGAACAUGAUGUGCUCGUCAGGUUCGUGGUGAACUCGACGAAUAGGGGGUGGACUCUAGAUCAUGUCCCAUCGGCUAGGCUAAUCUAGCAGUCUUAAGACUUCAGGUGCUUUCAAAUCAAAUGGAAGAUGUCUUUGCUUCCAUGGCCAUUCGCAUAUUUACCAAUAUCUUGGUGGUUAGGCUUUGCCGACUUCCUCAUGGUCUCAUUGUUCUUCUUCCCUAUGGAUUCUUGAUAGCCUUGAGGGCCUUCUGGUAAGAAAUUACCAGGGGUGGCGCAUCCAUGGAAGUCAGUACUCUGGACAAUCCCCCCCCCCCCCNNNNNNNNNNNNNNNNNNNNNNNNNNNNNNNNNNNNNNNNNNNNNNNNNNNNNNNNNNNNNNNNNNNNNNNNNNNNNNNNNNNNNNNNNNNNNNNNNNNNNNNNNNNNNNNNNNNNNNNNNNNNGAACAUUACGGUAAGUAUGGAAAUUCACUUCCCCUCGACACCAUUUUAUUUGGACUAUAUUUUAGAUUCACAAAUUGGCGUUCAACCAGGUUUAAUGGUUCANNNNNNNNNNNNNNNNNNNNNNNNNNNNNNNNNNNNNNNNNNNNNNNNNNNNNNNNNNNNNNNNNNNNNNNNNNNNNNNNNNNNNNNNNNNNNNNNNNNNGAGACAAGUCUGACUCCUCGUUGCUCUACUUCGGAGUCUGCCGCAAUCCUUGUUUUGAUCCUAAGUGGCACUAUAUAUGUCUGUCACCGGUUGUUCAAGACGGUGACUUUUCGGUGUGGAUCGAGUCCUGUCAUUGAUCUGCAUCUUUCUCUCACGCACUAAGGGUGGCUGGUGCGUCGACAAGAGACACUCUGCGGAAGUUAUUUGGUCUUCGGUGUUGUUCGGCGUCAGUCAAGACGCGGUGCUUUGUGUCGGUUCAGGAUAAGCUCUUUUNNNNNNNNNNAGUGUGGAUUGAGUCCUGUCAUUGAUCUGCAUCUUUCUCUCACGCGCUAAGGGUGGCUGGUGCGUCGACAAGAGACACUCUGGGGAAGUUAUUUGGUCUUCGGUGUUGUUCGACGUCAGUCAAGACGCGGUGCUUUGUGUCGGUUCAGGAUAAGCUCUUUUGCAUUGUAGCUCGGUGGACGGUGCGGUUUAUCUUUAGGUUUGUCCUUGUGAUGUUCGUGCUAUGCAUCAAGUGAUAGCUUUUUUCAUUGAAAUUAUGUCUUUACCAGAGUACAAAAGGUAUCNNNNNNNNNNNNNNNNNNNNNNNNNNNNNNNNNNNNNNNNNNNNNNNNNNNNNNNNNNNNNNNNNNNNNNNNNNNNNNNNNNNNNNNNNNNNNNNNNNNNAGUCCUAGUUUCAAUACUGCUUGAACGCCGUGGUGCAAGAUAGAGCCUAGAAGAUUUAGUUGAAAAAAAUAUUGAGUAAAACAAAAUAGUUACACAUUAUACAGAUAUUACUUUCGGCUAGUAUAUAUAUGUUGUUGCGUGUUAAAUUGUAUUUUAUCAACUUCAAAUAAAAUUUAAAAAUAUAUAUGUGUUUAUUAUCACACCCAAAUGCCACCUGCAUUUUUUUAAUGGGAAAGCUUAAGCGUGUUGACAUGUGCAAAAAAACAAGUCAAAAGACAAAUGAUACAGUUAAUUUAAUUUUUCACGCUGACAAAUAAAUUCAGAAUUCUCGUAAUUCAAUUUUAGGUUACUAUUCACCAAAGAGUAUAUCUAUACCUAGUGAUAAAGCAAGGUGUGUUUCUUUAAUUCUUUCAUAUGUUCAUCCAUAUUAUAUUUUCAGAUUUUUUCCUAUCCGACGUUAUAUUUUCAUAUCCAUAUUAUAUUUUCAUAUUGUUGUGCUGCAAGUUCGAAGUUCAUUUGUUGUGCUAUAUGGGAAAAACAAAAAAAAAAGUACUUGCACGAAUCGCGAUGUGGAAUUGGAUGGCUAGAUAGGGGGAUGCCUAGAAGCCUAAGCUCCACAAUAUAUUUUCGUGGUAAUUUGAUGGCACCAAUGCUCCAACGCAAAUUUUAUACAUCAAGGUUAGCUUCUACAAUCUAUGCUGUUAUAGUAGAUGUUUCAGAGAAGCAGUUCCCUAUAAAUUAUUGGUGGUUAAAUUUUUUUAGACAUCAAGAAGCAUUCAUAAUUUUGGCAGCAACAAUUAUAAGGUGCGCCAUACAAGCAUUACUAGUAUAAUAUCCAUGCAUUGCCACGGGCUAUGAAUAUAUUUUUAUCAGUUGCAAACAUAGUCACAAUACAUGUAAAAAUUUACAUGCAUAGAAAUUAUAGCAUGUAACGAUGAGAAGUAAUUAAAAUCCACUUCAGUAAUCCAAUUAAUUAUCUUUUACAAAUAAAGAUCUACUUGAUGUGUUUAACAUAGUUUUGUACAAUGUGAGGAAUGUUGUCUUCAACUUCAUUGCAUGGCACAAUGUGAGCCGCAUCCUUAUUUUGAUGAGUUUUAAAUUGUGUAUAUAUAUAUUUUCUAGAAAUGACUUGUUAUGCUAUGUGACAUUGAUGUCAACGUAUAGAAGCUCCUCCUUUUUACUUUUUNNNNNNNNNNNNNNNNNNNNNNNNNNNNNNNNNNNNNNNNNNNNNNNNNNNNNNNNNNNNNNNNNNNNNNNNNNNNNNNNNNNNNNNNNNNNNNNNNNNNNNNNNNNNNNNNNNNNNNNNNNNNNNNNNNNNNNNNNACAGCUGCCUUCUACUCUUCCCGCACAACCAACCAGACACCAAUUGUCACCGCAUCUCAUCUCCCCGCCAGAGAGUAUCCACCGCCAUCUCCCCCAGACACCUCCCCUCCAUGCCAUGGCGAAGCCCGCCCACUCCUCUCCCCAUCAUCUGCCCUCUCAUCCAUGGCUCCGCCGCCUCGACGCUGAGCUAGCCCACCGGUCUAGCAUCGUGGAUAGUUGGGUCCUCCCUGGAGGUGCAAAAGGGAUCGCAACCGUCUGUUAGUGCUAGCCAUGUAGCUGACCCAUUCGUAUGUGAGUUGCACAACCUCAUGUGGCACUGCGAGGAGGGAUACACCUUCAUCAUCGAGGUUGCUCACCCCAGGCCGAUUUCCGGUGCCAUGGAGUGCACGUUGUCAUGCUAGGGCAGCCGCCAAGGAGAUGCGACCUUCUAAUCAUUUUCCUUGCCCAAACCAUUCAAAUCCGAUGUAGCUGCCAGCAUGUCUAUCGUUCCUAUCGAUUAGCUUUAUGGAUUACAUGAGAAGACUUUUACGUGUGCGCGCGUCGCAACACGUGAUAGGCUUGCAAGCGCAAUCCUAAUCCCCCUAAUUUUAGUUGUGAAGCUGAAUAUCUAAUCUCAUUAAUCCAUCUCCCUUGAUUUUCAGAGCAUGGAUUUCUAUGCAUCUCUCCAAUCUCUUGUCCCAGAUUUUUAGGGAAAGUUUANNNNNNNNNNGGCUGAAUAUCUAAUCUCAUUAAUCCAUCUCCCUUGAUUUUCAGAGCGUGGAUGUCUAUGCAUCUCUCCAAUCUCUUGUCCCAGAUUUUUAGGGAAAGUUUAAUAGCAACCUGAUGAGAGACGACCUCUAGUUCAUGCACAUGCCAUUUCCUCAUACUAUCUGAAGGGAGUAUCAAAAUCAUAAUUGCGUAGCUUUUAGUUUUUUGCUAAAAGUUUAGGCGCAUCAUUUUUUUUGCGCCGGGCAUGAAGGAAAAACAUUUAUCUAGACAUUUGAAAGAUGCAGCAGUGAGACUCUCAUAACAACCAGUUCCGAUUGAACAUACAACCCUUGAACAGGGUGGAGCCCCGCCAUAGGUCCACUAUAUUGGUUACAAAUUUACAAUUCUCUAACAACUUUGUGCCAUUUUUGGACUAUUUGUUAAAACUAAGAUGAUAUUUAAGUUAAAUUAUAUUAACUGACACCCCACUACUAUGAUCGUAGGCUAGUCAUUUCCAUGGGACAUGCAAACUAGUUAUACUAAAAAAUGCAAACUAGUUAUACUAUAUUGGUUACAAAUUUACAAUUCUCUAACAACUUUGUGCCAUUUUUGGACUAUUUGUUAAAACUAAGAUGAUAUUUAAGUUAAAUUAUAUUAACUGACACCCCACUGCUAUGAUCGUAGGCUAGUCAUUUCCAUCGGACAUGCAAACUAUUUAUACUAAAAAAUGCAAACUAGUUAUACUAUAUUGGUUACAAGUUUACAAUUCUCUAACAACUUUGUGCCAUUUUUGGACUAUUUGUUAAANNNNNNNNNNNNNNNNNNNNNNNNNNNNNNNNNNNNNNNNNNNNNNNNNNNNNNNNNNNNNNNNNNNNNNNNNNNNNNNNNNNNNNNNNNNNNNNNNNNGGGACAUGCAAGUUGAUCGUCCUGUCAUGCAAUUAGUCUAUGAAGUCUACGCGGUGCUAGUAUUCUGAUAUACAUUGCGGGUCUGGUUAUUCUAUUUUCUUGUAGUGUAGUAUGACCAGUCAAGUGUUCACAUGUAUAUUUAAUUUUCCAUGUUGGCAGGGUUGCGUGUUAGAAAAAGGCAUAUCUAUAUAUGCACGUCAUUACGGCAGGGUUGCCUAGCUAGCUGUACGUGUGAUGGAUGAACUAGGAUAUACUAAUGUGGAUUCAUCCAGAACUUGCUAUCUCAAGCUGUCUGAAUUUCACAUAUUGUUGGUGUUUCACUAAUCACAUAAAGAUACUACUUGUAAAUUAGUACUUCCUCGGUUCCUGAAUAUAAGUUUUUUUUCUUCAAAUAUUCUACUAAGAACUACAUGCCAAUAAAAAUAAAUGAAUCUAUAAUUUAAAUUAUGUCUAUAUACAUCCGUAUAUAGUUCGUAGUAAAAUAUCUAGNNNNNNNNNNAAAUAUUCUACUAUGAACUACAUACCAAUAAAAAUAAAUGAAUCUACAAUUCAAAUUAUGUCUAUAUACAUCCGUAUAUAGUUCGUAGUAAAAUAUCUAGAAACACUUAUAUUUAGAAAUGGAGGGAGUAUAAUACAUUUAUUCUAGAUCACUAGUCUAUGUCUAUACUUAUUAAUAAAAGGAUAAAUGUCUCUACCCGUCCGUCGUACCUUUUGGAAACAAAUAAACCCAAUUGUUUCUUGAAAUCAACGCACGGUCCUGAUUUUAAGUGAAUCUUAAAUUUUUUUUGUAUUUUACUAAAAACUUCCUAACCUUUCGGUUAAACGACCUACUGUCCUGUUUUAAGUGAGUCCNNNNNNNNNNUCACGGUCCUGAUUUUAAGUGAAUCUUAAAAAUAUUUUGUAUUUUACUAAAAACAUCCUAACCUUUCGGUUAAACGACCUACUGUCCUGUUUUAAGUGAGUCCAGAAAAUCUUCUAUGUUUUCUAGAAACCCCUUGAUAUUUCGUUCCAUAAACCUAAAGUCAAUAGUCCGAUUAAAGAACUAUGUAGACAUGUCCCGAGGUACUCCUCGGUCAAUAUCCAAUAGCGGUACCUGGAUGCCCAUAUUGGAUCCUACAUAUUCUCCGAAGAUCUUAUCGGUUGAACCUCAGUGUCAAGGAUUCAUAUAAUCCCGUAUGUCAUUCUCUUUGUCCUUCGGUAUGUUACUUGCCCGAGAUUCGAUCGUCGGUAGCCGCAUACCUAUUUCAUUCUCGUUACCGGCAAGUCUCUUUACUCGUUCCGUAAUACAAGAUCCCGUGACUUACACUUAGUCACAUUACUUGCAAGGCUUGUGUGUGAUGUUGUAUUAUCAAGUGGGCCUCGAGAUACCUCUCCGUCACACGGAGUGACAAAUCCCAGUCUUGAUCCAUACUAACUCAACAGACACCUUCGGAGAUACCUGUAGAACACCUUAUAGUCACCCAGUUACGUUGUGACGUUUGAUGCGCACAAGGUAUUCCUUCGGUGCUAGUGAGUUAUAUGAUCUCAUGGUCAUAGAAACAAGUACUUGACACACAGAAAACAAUAGCAAUAAAAUGACACGAUCAAUAUGCUACGUAUAUAAUUUGGGUCUUGUCCAUCACAUGAUUCUCCUAAUGAUGUGAUCCCGUUAUCAAGUGACAACACUUGCCUAUGGUCAGGAAACCUUGACCAUCUUUGAUCAACGAACUAGUCAACUAGAGGCUCACUAGGAACAGUGUGUUGUCUAUGUAUCCUCACAUGUAUUUGAGUUUCCAAUCAAUACAAUUCUAUCAUGGAUAAUAAAAGAUUAUUAUGAACAAGGAAAUAUAAUAAACUAAUUUAUUAUUGUCUCUAGGGUAUAUUUCCAACAAUAUAUACCAACUCACUACGAGGUCAACAUAUUCGCUACUUGACUAGGUAUUUAGAUAUAUACGUACAUCAAAGUAAGUGAAGUAGUAUAUUUACACACCAGUUUUAAUCUGAUCCACAUAAUCAUGCAUACUUAGGGUCAUACAUGACAAUGCUGUAGAAAAACAUACAUGAUUACAUCAGUAACAAUUUCUCCUACAAUUUGUUCAAUGGGAUCAUGCCAUCCUUAUGAAGUAAGGUCAUUUCAUCACCAUACUUCUUUGAACCGGAAACAAGGAGCCUAAACCUAUCAAAUAUGCAUCUCGGACUGAGAGAAAAUCCAGCCAUAAAAACAUAACCACCUGGGUUGAGCAGGAGAGGAUGGAGCCAUGCAUGGGAGGGGAGAAGAUUGUCGUAUUAGCUCCGAUUUUGCCAAUAGCCAUGCCUUGAAGUUUUGCCUGCCGCUCGUCCCCUACCUCGUCCUUCCCCUCCUAACAAAUGAGGCCCUGACCGGUCAGGAGAAGGCAGACGAUGUGGUUCGACGUGCAGAAAAACCAUGAGAAAAGCCCCACUGAUGUGACAUGCCAGUUGGACUUUACAAUUGAGACCCAUCGGUCAAAACGCUCACAAAAUUUUAAGCAAGGUAAAUUAUGGCAACAUUUUUGCUAAAUGGAUUAAAACAGAUGAAAUCGCGUUAAAUCGGGUAACUAGUGUCAAAAAUAUUAAAAUAGAAGGUAAAAACCGGAAUUCACUCUUUUUAUUAUUAUGUGUGUCCUUCUAUGAACAUGUGAGUCAGUUAGAUGCCACAACAAGAUACAACAAUGGAUGAUUUGUACAUAUUCACUAUAGAAUACAUUAUGCUAACUUAAGUAGCGAAUUGAGCAUAGGUAAAAUAGUUAGCUUACUUGUGGUGGAAUCAGACCACCAGUUAGACUUGACACCAAUGCUCAAAAUUUUCUAUAUUUAUUCAACUCUCUCCUUAAUAAGUUUGAACUGCUUACCACAAAUGUCACAUGGCGAUGUUCGUUCAGUUAAAGAAGAUGUUUCCAUCUAUCAUUAAACGUCUCUGAUGACUUCGUCAAUCUCAAAUGUUGUGCUAACUCAAUAUCUCGGAGGCCCUAGUAGAUAUAGGAUGCGUGUGUAUGUUCAUAUAGGUGAGUGUAUGUAUAUGUACGUGAGCGCAUCUGCCAUUGUAUAUAUAAAAAAAAACUAUGCGUGCAUGCACUUAUGACAUCUACGAGUGUACGUCUUGCCUUGCGGGAUAAUCAGUAGUACGAUGCAUGCAUCCUUUAAUUUUUUAUGGAUCAGCUAGAACGUCAAGAUGUAAAAGGUGACAUUGAAGAAGAAGAAAAUCUUCAGCAAGAUUUUUAGUUUUAUCAAGGAUCAUCNNNNNNNNNNNNNNNNNNNNNNNNNNNNNNNNNNNNNNNNNNNNNNNNNNNNNNNNNNNNNNNNNNNNNNNNNNNNNNNNNNNNNNNNNNNNNNNNNNNNNNNNNNNNNNNNNNNNNNNNNNNNNNNNNNNNNNNNNNNNNNNNNNNNNNNNNNNNNNNNAGCUGGCAUAUCACUAGUCGACUUAACCCAACUUGAACAACCUUUCUAUUCCAGGUACGUGUACAAGUAUGUAUAUCCUUUUACAAUAUGCAAAUCAUGCAUUUAGAUACCAUAACGUGAUACAAUGACAUUGAUCAAUCAUAAGCUUAUAAAGCAUGCAUGCAUGAGCGAGGGAGCCCAUGCAAACGCCUGACAUAUGAACUGUAACAGUGCGCGCGUAUGACAUGCAAUAGCUACGAGUAAAUCGAUGGAUAGAUGGAUCACAUGGGGCAGGUGAAGUUGGCGGGGCACUUCUUGCCGCACUGGUUGAGUNNNNNNNNNNGGUUCGAUUUGAAAUUGUCCAUUAAGAUGAAACCAAUAUAGGAUUUAAUCUUCCCAGCCACACGAUGCGGAUGAUGCAAAUUCUCACCAUUUCUUAUAUUAUUUCUUUUAUCCGAGAUGUGCCAUAUAGCCACAGUAAAGUACAAUGCGUGAAGAUCUGGUGCAACAUUUAUCCAUUCUAGCAAUCAUUGAUGAAUAUUGAUAAACCUUUUUAGAUUUAGCACGAUAUGAAAAGACCUUUCAUAGUUUGCCCAAAAAUUCUUUGACAUAAUGGGAAAAGAAGAAACAAUGUUCCACAGUCUCAACUCUAUUACAGAUAAAACACUCAUACCUCGUAGGAAAUGUUCCACAGUUUCAUCAAUGUUCCUCACCAGUAGGUAAAAAAUUACGAACCAUUCUCCAUAAGAUGAUCUUCAUUCUAUUUGGACUUUGUAUUUCGAGUUUUUGCUCUAUAUUUUUCCUGUUUCCUCCAUGUUCGAGGCUGAUCCUCUUCCAUCAGAGCUCUAGUACAUCCAGAACGAUAAGGAUUUUGCAAGGUUAUACCGAGACAAUAUAGUGUAGGUGCCUCCAUUCGUGUAUGGCCAUGAUGCGAAAUCUCAGCACCCUUAUGAACUUAGAGGGAUCUUUAGGAUCUUUACAACCAGGUUUUUUGGAAACAUUUCACUAACAACCACACUGUUUCAUGAUUUACCAUCAGUUAAAAACAAAUGGUUCGCAGUCUUAUCCUCCUCCACCGGGAAAUUUGUACAAAGUAUGCCACGAAAUGAGUGUGGGAUCCAAUUAUCUUAAAUCAAAGAUAUUUGCUUUCCGUCUCCUAAUUGCAAGAAUAAGCCGUUUUGAAGGAGUUUCUUACCAAAUAAUAUGCUGCGCCAUGUGUGGGAAGCUGAUCUUGGGCAUCCUGAUCUCCAAAAAUCUCCAUGCGGGAAAUACCUUCCUUCUAAUACCUUGAAGCAUAAUGAAUUGGGGUUCACUAAGAGCCUACAGCACUGCUUUGCAAGCAUGGCUUGAUUAAAAAUCACCAAGUCCCUGAAUCCCAUUCCUCCAAGAUACUUGGGCGAGGAUAGCCAAUUAGAGGACCUCCAAUGAAUUUUUUCCUCCCAUCUUCCAUUCCCCACCAUACUGGAGAUAGGUCUAUUCAUGUUCUCACAUAUUGAUAUUGGAAUUUGGAAGCAGCACAUUACAUAUGUCCGGAUGGCUUGAGCCACCGACUUUAGAAGUACUUCUCUACCUUCUCUGGAUAACAGUCUUAUCAUUCCACCCAUUUAAUAUCCUCCAUAGCCUCCGAGUGAGGAAAUUAAAAUUGCUUGUUGUAGAGCAUCCCACCCAAGAAGGCAUGCCAAGGUAAGUGGCUUGUAGAGACUCAUCUCGGACUCCUACCAUGUUCUUUACUCGUUCCUUCACCCGAUUGUCACAAUGAUGUCCAAAGAAGAUAUAUGACUUGUGCAAGUUGAUUUUCUGACUAGAGCCUUUGUAGUACGUCUCAAGAGCGAUUUUAAGUAUGUUUGUGCUUCUAUUGUCGCCCUUCACAAAAAAUAUGCUAUCAUCAUCAAAUAAGAGGUGGUAAAUAGGAUNNNNNNNNNNUUGAUGUCCAAAGAAGAUAUAUGACUUGUGCAAGUUGAUUUUCUGACCAGAGCCUUUGUAGUAGGUCUCAAGAGCAAUUUUAAGUAUGUUUGUGCUUCUAUUGUCUCCCGUCACAAAAAAUAUGCUAUCAUCAUCAAAUAAGAGGUGGUAAAUAGGAUGGCCUGCUUUUCUGUUCUUGAUUUCUCUAAUGUCCCUUAUUGCUUCUUUUAACUGUAGAAGACAAGAUAAACCUUCAGGACAUAAUAAAAAUAAGUAUGGGCUGAUGGGAUCACCCUGACAUAUGCCUCUAGUAGGUAUGAAAGGGCCAGUUAAGUUCCCAUUUACUUUGACUGCAUAUUGUAUAGAGGUCACACACCUCAUCACCGAUUCUAACUAGUUUCAAAUAAAGCCAAAUUUAACAAGAACCCCUUUCAAAUAAGGCCAUUCAACUCUAUCAUACACUAGUAGAAAAGAGGGCUUUGGUCCACUUGAUAAAAUCCCAUUAGUCUUGGGCCGACCCAUGUGGGAGGCGGGACACCAAUGUUUUUUUUUUAUAUAUUUCCUUUUUUCUUUUCUGUAUUUGUAUUUUCUAUUUUAAAAUAAUUCAGGAUUACAAAAUGUUUCCAUUUUCAGGAAAUAGAGAAAUAAAAAUAUUUUGAGAAAUCAUAAAUAUUCGUGAAUUCGUGAAAUGUGCAUGUUUUUGAAAAACAUUUGGGAAGUCAUAAAAUUUUCAAAUUUAAAAGAAUUCAUGAUUUUCAAACAAAUCUUUGCAUAUUCAAAGAUCUUUCAUGNNNNNNNNNNGAAAUCCCAUUAGUCUUGGGCCGACCCAUGUGGGAGGCGGGACACCACUGUUUUUUUUAUAUAUUUUUCCUUUUUUUCUUUUCUGUAUUUGUAUUUUCUAUUUUAAAAUAAUUCAAGAUUAUAAAUUUUUUCCAUUUUCAGGAAAUAGAGAAAUAAAAAUAUAUUUGAGAAAUCAUAAAUAUUCGUGAAUUCAUGAAAUGUGCAUGUUUUUUAAAAACAUUUGGGAAGUCAUAAAAUUUUCAAAUUUAAAAUAAUUCAUGAUUUUCAAACAAAUCUUUGCAUAUUCAAAGAUCUUUCAUGAUUUUGAAAAAAAGUCCGGGAAAGAAAUAAAGUGUGUGGGUUCAAAAACAAUUAUUAAAGAUGGAAGAAGUUCAUGAAUUAAAACAAUAUUCACGAUUCUGUAAAAAAUGUCCAUAAAAAAUGUAUUUCAGUUUAAAUUGUCCCUGAAUUUCGAAGUUCAUCNNNNNNNNNNAAAAAGUGUGUGGGUUCAAAAACAAUUCUUAAAGAUGGAAGAAGUUCAUGAAUUAAAACAAUAUUCAUGAUUCUGUAAAAAAUGUCCGUAAAAAAUGUAUUUCAGUUUAAAUUGUCCCUGAAUUUCGAAGUUCAUCAAUUGAAAAGAGGUUUGCUGAAUGAAAGUAUGUUCAUGGUUUUCAAAAACAAAUUUAUUAAAAAAAUUGUGAUCUUCAAAAAGUUUUUCCAAAAUAUAAAAAUAUUUAUCAAUUCAAAACAAUUGGUUUAACUUUAAAAAAAUGUUCAUGAUUUCAAAUAAUGUCCGAGAAUAUGCAAAAAAUACGAAUAUAAAAAAUGUACACGUUUCAAAACAUGUCCAUAAAUUGAAAAAAUGUUUAUGAUUUCCAAAUGUGUUCACAAUUUUGAUAUUUUUUCAAUAUUUGUUUUUUUUGAAAAAGACAGGAAAAUUGAAAUUGGAAAUAAUGAAAAAUAUAAUAAAANNNNNNNNNNUCACGUUUCAAAACAUGUCCAUAAAUUGAAAAAAUAUUCAUGAUUUCGAAAUGUGUUCACAAUUUUGAUUUUUUUUUCAAUAUUUGUUUUUUUAAAAAGACAGGAAAAUUGAAAUUGGAAAUAAUGAAAAAUAUAAUAAAAGGCAAACAAGAAAAAAAAUGAGAAAUGAAAAAUUAAAAUGAAAAUGACAUAAUAAAAGAAAAUCAAAAAUAGAAAAGAAAGUGGAAAAGGAGAAAUACGAAAAUGAGAAAGAUAUAGAAAAAUAAAAAGAAGCAACAAAGAAGAAGAAAAUAAAAACUGACUCAACGAAGGUUCUAGAACUUCCGCCAACUGAAAAGAAAAAAAACUAGACUAGGAUGGUCCAAACGCGGGACAAUCUCGGGAGGGGGCUAUGCACCAGCUUGCUAUAGAGCGACCUACAUGCCAAAUNNNNNNNNNNUACUUCCGCCAACUGAAAGGAAAAAAAAUAGACUAGGAUGGUCCAAACGCGGGACAAUCUCAGGAGGGGGCUAUGCACCAGCUUGCUAUAGAGCGACCUACAUGCCAAAUUGGAACAAGAAAGCAAGACAUAGUCAUGCCACAUACGCUUGGUUGUCUCAUGGCAAUCGACAGGUAGCCCCUUGACUAUGUGCCAAGCCACACAUGUAGGUUGUAUCACUAAAGGCUUAAUUAUUCAGCCCGGCGUCAUCGCGCACUUGAGUAUUUCUUUCCUGUGUGGUCUAGAUGGGCUUGAUUUGUGGUCGUGGAUGACACCGUGAAGACCUCUUAUGGCAAGGCCAAGUGCACCGUACUCAUCCAGGCCUCGUAUGAAUAACCUCUUUUUCCUCUUAAUUCUCUUGUUUUAAUACUUCUCCUAGUUUCUAAUUUCUUCUUGUUUCGAAAUUUCAGACAAGCAUGGCAGGUUUGGGCUUGAUCUGAAGAUUUUCUUCCUCGGACCGUAACAGAAUUUGGUUUGUUCAAGAAGCUCAAGUAAGUCUUCUUUUUACCAGCAAAAGAAAGAAGCUCAUGUAAGUAUUUUUCUUAAGAUCUUUUAACCCAAGAAAGGAUAUGUGUCCUUGUUGCUCAAUCGUUUUUCCGAUCUCCGACUAAGACAUCCUGAUAAGAACGGCGCCCAAAUAUUUCACAUGAACAUGGUUCCUAUAUACAAGCUAUACAUUAUGUUUCAAAAGUAUGACAUAUAUAAAUAUGCCAAGUUCUGUUGCUUUCAUGCUUAGCACNNNNNNNNNNGAUCCUGACAAGAACGGGGCCCAAAUGUUUCACAUGACCAUGGUUCCUAUAUACAAGCUAUACAUUAUGUUUCAAAAAUAUGACAUAUAUAAAUAUGCCAAGUUCUGUUGCUUUCAUGCUUAGCACCUUUGGUUAACACCCCCAGGAUAGCAGGUAUACAUUUUUAACCAGGGUAGUUAUAAUUAAUCUUUUUUGCUUCCGAGCACCCAUUGUAUAUAGAGAGAUUUACACUAGGAUGUCAAUACCAUCUGUAUAUUUUGUUGUUGUUGACACUGCCUUAUCAAACUAAAUAAACAAAAANNNNNNNNNNNNNNNNNNNNNNNNNNNNNNNNNNNNNNNNNNNNNNNNNNNNNNNNNNNNNNNNNNNNNNNNNNNNNNNNNNNNNNNNNNNNNNNNNNNNUCCGACGGCCACCUUCAUGGAUAUGUUCUUGAAUUUCUGAUGAAGUUCACAUGAUGUUGAAUCCUUGAUUCCAUCCACGGGGUAGCCGGGACCGCCCUCUAUCAUUCUUCGUUCAUCGGCGGGCGGGGCCUCAGAUUCAGCCACGCUGCUUUUCCGCUUAGAUGGGGCACCGGUAAUAUCAAGUGCAGGAUCUUCCUGGCGCGGUACUCCUCUAAGCUCAUCAAUCUUCUUCUGUUGCUCGUUAAUCCUGGCAAGCAACUGGUUGAACUUGUCAUUCUCCUCAUCCUGCUUCCGCUUCUGUGCUCUCUCUCGGCUUCUGUAAGUGUCUUGGUCUCUGGCAAACCCAAGCCACCACGGGUAAGAUGGACCGAAGCCUCGCAUUCGUCCUCCAUGUUCGUCAUUGCCGAGGACCAGUGUGAGCAAAUCUUUAUCUCUAUCUGCAGUGAACUUUCUUUGUCCCUCCUUAAUUUCUUUCACUAUCCUUUUCCAAUUCUCCCUGGGUAUCCUAAGAUUGUCAUUGCAGAUGAGGUCCCCUGUUUUUUCGUCGCACGACCCACCAUGCGCAAGGAACCAAUUUCUUGCUCUCCAUUCCCACUCAUCACGGAGUGGUUCAGGUACGAUGCCUUUAUCUAUCAGAUCUUGCUCUUUCUUUUCCCACUUUGGGAUCGCAGUCUCAUAGCCCCCUGGCCCCAGCUUGUGGUUAUAUAUCUUCUUGUCGGCAUUUAUCUUGUUCUUUUCUGAUAAUGCCUGGGCAUNNNNNNNNNNCCCUGGCCCCAGCUUGUGGUGAUAUUUCUUCUUGUCGGCAUUUAUCUUGUUCUUUUCUGAUAAUGCCUGGGCAUCUUCUCACUCCUUGUACUCUUGAAAUUCCUUCCAGUGAUUCGCAUGCUUGGCUAGAUACCCCUCGAAUACUGGCACUUUCUUUGUCGUCAGAUAGUUUUUCCAUAGCUUCUUCUUCCAGCUACGGAAUAGUUCGGCCAUCUUCUUUAGAGUCGACUGCUUGACUUUGGCCCUCAGUUUGUCUGCGGCGUCUUCAUUCUCACAUUCUGGCAGGUUGAAAUGUGACAUGAUAUCAUUCCAAAGACUAUCUUUGUACCUUUCGACGACAUAGUCACUAUCGGCUGCCCCUUUGCGCUUGUUCCACUCCCGAACGCUGAUCGGGACGUGAUACCUAACGAGAACUCCGCAUUGCUUCUUGAAUGUGUCAGCAUCAUUCUUAGGAAGCUUGGGUUCACCCGUAGGCAUUAUCAGCUCAAAGGUGUAAUGCGUCNNNNNNNNNNNNNNNNNNNNNNNNNNNNNNNNNNNNNNNNNNNNNNNNNNNNNNNNNNNNNNNNNNNNNNNNNNNNNNNNNNNNNNNNNNNNNNNNNNNNNNNNNNNNNNNNNNNNNNNNNNNNNNNNNNNNNNNNNNNNNNNNUGGAGGCCUAAGAGGGAGAAACAUUCGUCAAAUGAAUGUAUAUGUAUAGAAUAUAGAGCUAUCUCCAAUAUUUUUCACAUAUUACAAGUGAUUGUCGAACUUCAUAUGUAUACCUCGCCGGACUUUAUUAUUUCUUCACCGGCUUAUCCACCGGCUUCUUCAUCAGUGGAGCUAUCACCUUCUCCAUCAUUGGACCUAUCUCCUUUUUCUUCUUUUCUUCUCCUUUUUCUUCUUUUCUUCUCCUUUUUCUUCUUUUCUUCUCUUUUUCCUUCCUUUCUUCUCCUUUUUCUUCUUUUCUUCUCUUUUUCCUUCCUUUCUUCUCCUUUUUCUUCUUUUCUUCUCUUUUUUCUUCUUUGCUUGUGCUGGCCGGAGUGUUGGGGAGGAGGGGGCAUGGGGCUUACCGGCCGGAGGUGUCGACGGCGCGCGGCGAGGAGGACGGCGGCGCGCGGCGAGGAGGACGGGGCGACUCGCGGCGAGCAGGACGGCGGCGGCGAGUANNNNNNNNNNGCCCCAUCGGCUUCAUCUUCGUGUCGCUCGACCUCCAUUCCAUAUCCAUAGUCGUUUAGAUAUGACGUCGGAGAUUCAGCUGGUUCAACGUCGGGGCCGUCUUUGAUUAUAUCUUCGAGAAGUUCUUCCUCUUCGAGGUUCCUGAUAUGUGGAUCCAUAGUUCUGCAAAAAACGGACAUUUGAUUAACUAAUAAACUAACAAACUAUAUAAGAGGGGUUGGAAACUUCGAAGGCUCGUUUUAUAUAGGAGGACCUUUAGUCCCGGGUCUUGGCUAGAACCUAAACUCUAAAAUACCAGCCGGGCGGAGCCCAGUCCCGGACACUUAAGCAUAUACAAUAGCAAAAUUAAACUAGUUCUAUUAAUUUUCUUGCUAAAAAUAAACUAUUAACACUUAAGCAUAUACAAUAGAAAAAUUAAACUAUUAACAAUUAAGCAUAUACAAUAGCAAAAUUAAGCAAUAAUCUAAGAAACACUAUUAACACUUAAGCAUAUACACUAUACAAUAGCAAAAUUAAAUGACAAAAAAAAUAGUUCUUCUUCUUGUAACCCUAAACUAAUUUUUCCUCUUCUUCUAUUUGUCCUCUUCUUCUACUUCUUCUUCUACUUCUACUUCUCCUCUUCUUCUACUACUUCUCCUCUCCUCUUCUUCUAUUUUUCCUCUUCUUCUCCUCUCCUCCUCUUCUUAUUCUCCUUUUUCUUCUUUUCUUCUCCUCCUCUUCUUAUUCUCCUUUUUCUUCCUUUCUUCUCCUUUUUCUUCCUUUCUUCUAUUUUUCUUCCUUUCUUCUCCUUUUUCUUCCUUUCUUCUCCUUUUUCUUCUUUUCUUCUCCUUUUCCUUCCUUUCUUCUCCUUUUUCUUCUUUUCUUCUCUUUUUUAUUCCUUUCUUCUCCUUUUUCUUCCUUUCUUCUCCUUUUUCUUCUUUGCUUGUGCUGGCCGGAGUGUUGGGGAGGAGGGGGUGUGGGGCUUACCGGCCGGAGGUGUCGACGGCGUGCGGCGAGGAGGACGGCGGCGAGCGGCGAGGAGGACGGCGGCGCGCGGCGAGGAGGGCGGCGCGCGGCGAGCAGGACGANNNNNNNNNNNNNNNNNNNNNNNNNNNNNNNNNNNNNNNNNNNNNNNNNNNNNNNNNNNNNNNNNNNNNNNNNNNNNNNNNNNNNNNNNNNNNNNNNNNNCCCGAGUGCGACUUUUAGUGCACACUCGGAGAAAGUUAAUACUUAGGCGAUUCUNNNNNNNNNNGAGUGUAUCUGUAGGAUACACUCGAAGGCAAUUGAGUACUUAGGCGAUUCGUGAUCGCGGCUAAGUCUUCGAGUGCGACUGUAAGGUCGUGCUCAGAGCGAGUUUUUACUCAUGUAAUUGUUAGUGGUGUUGACAUCUACAUGAGCCUCAAUGAGGUUCUGCUACUCAUGUAAUUGUCAGUUGUCUUGACAUCUACAUGAGCCUCACUGAGGGUCUGUUGAGUCCCCAAGUUUAUCUGUAGGAUACACUCAAAGGCAAUUGAGUACUUAGGCGAUUCUGAUCGCGGCUAAGUCUUUGACUGCGACUGUAAGGUCGUGCUCGGAGCGAGUUGUUACUCAUGUAAUUGUCAGUGGUCUUGACAUCUACAUGAGCCUCAAUGAGGUUCUGCUACUCAUGGAAUUGUCAGUUGUCUUGACAUCUACAUGAGCCUCACUGAGGGUCUGUUGAGUCCCCNNNNNNNNNNNNNNNNNNNNNNNNNNNNNNNNNNNNNNNNNNNNNNNNNNNNNNNNNNNNNNNNNNNNNNNNNNNNNNNNNNNNNNNNNNNNNNNNNNNNAGUCUACACUUCUUAAUAUGUCCGAUAGAAAUAUUAAGAUUGAGGCUGAGAAGAAGGUGCAAACUCUUCUCACAGAGAGGAGAUGAAAUGGGCCCUUUGAGCAAAGGUGGCGAAGGUGGACCAUGGAGAUGAUAAAACACAAUUCUUUCACAUGAUUGGGAAUGGCAAACAUAGGAAGAAGAAAAUAAUUCUACUUGAACACGAUGAUGAUACAAUUGUAGGAAAUGAGAACCUAAAAUUGUACAUCUUCGAGUAUUAUAAGAAACUUUUUGGUGCACCCGAAGAGAAUUUUGUUUUUCUGGAUUAGAGCACAACAAGUGACAUUCCUCAACCCAGUUCAGAUGAGAACGAGAUUUUGUCAGCCCCAUUUACGGAUGAAGAGAUGUUUGACGCAAUAUCACAAAUGAAGCAAAAUAAGGCACCGGGACCAGAUGGGUUUCUGAUGGAAUUUUAUAAAAAGUGUUGGCAUAUUAUUAAAGAUGAUAUUUGCAUAUGUUCCAUGAUUUGUUUAAUGGGUAUUUACAUCUAUUCCACCUUAACUUUGGAAUAAUAAUGGUGUUUCUAAAGAAGGUGGAGGCUAUUCGCAUUGAGAAGAUCAGGCUGACUGCUCAAUGCCAGCUUCAAAAAAUUUACAAAGGUUGGCACGAAUAGGUUGACAAAGAUAGCCCAUUCCGUAGUCCAAUCGACCGAGACAACUUUCAUGCAUGGAAGACAUAUCCUAGAAGGGUUCAUUGUUUUGCAUGAAAAGUUGCAUGAAAUACAUAAAAAGAAACUUGAUGGGCUUAUCUUUAAAGUGGAUCUCAAGAAGGCGUACGAUAAGGUCAAAUGGCCAUUUCUUCAACAAGCCUUGUGUAUGAAGGGAUUCAACGAAUCCUAGAGGGAUCAUGUGGGUGCUUUCAUUUAGAAAGGUAGAGUUGGGAUUAAAAUUAAUGAUGACAUAGCUCAUUAUUUUUAGACUCAUAAGGGAUUGAGGCACGGAGAUUUCAUGUCUCCCUUGUUGUUCAACAUAGUAGCAGAUAUGUUGGCACUCCUUAUUGAUCGGGCUAAAGAGAAUGGCCAAGUAGGAGGACUUCCUUGGGGAACGUCGCAUGGGAAACAAAAAAUUUCCUACGCGCACUAAUACGUCCAUUUUGCAUCAUUCUUUCAUGUUGAUAUUUAUUGUUUUUUCGGAUUUUAUAUUACUUCUGGUAGCAUAUUUAUGCCUCUUCUCUCUUAUUUUGCAAGGCUUAUUUGAAGAGGGAGAAUUCAGGCAGCUGGAAUUCAGGACUGGAAAAGGAGCAAAUCCUAGUCCACUAUUCUGCACAUCUCCAAAUACCCUGAAAAUUUACGUGGAUUUUUUCUGGAAUAUAUUAAAAAUACUGGGCGAAAGAACUACCGGAGGGGUCCACCAGGGCCCCACAAGCCCCCACUCCGCCACCAACCCCCCUGGUGGCGGUGGGCAAGCUUGUGUGCUGCCUGAAGGCCCACUAGCCCCCCUCUUUUGCUAUGUGAAGCGUCCUGACCUGGGAAAAAUCAUACGGGAGCUUUUUCGUGGUUUCGCCGUCGCCACGAGGCGGAACUUGAGCACAUCCAAUCUAGAGCUCCGGUAGGACGAUCCCGCCAGGGAAAUUUCCCUCCCGGAGGGGGGGAAUCGUCGCCAUCGUCAUCACCAACACUCCUCUCGUCGGAGGGGAGUCAUCUUCAUCAACAUGUUCAUCAGCACCAUCUCCUCUCCAAUCCCUAGUUCAUCUCUUGUAAUCAAUCUUCGUCUCGCGACUCCGAUUGGUACUUUUAAGGUUGCUAGUAGUGUUGAUUACUCUUUGUAGUUGAUGCUUGUUGGAUUACUUGGUGGAAGAGUUGAUGUUCAUAUCCUUGAUGCUAUUCAUUACACCUCUGGUCAUGAUUAUGAUUAUGUCUUGUGAGUAGAUACUUUUGUUCGUGAGGACAUGGGAUAAGUCAUGCUGAUAAUAGUCAUGUGAAUUUGAUAUUCGUUCGGUAUUAUGAUAUGAUGUAUGUUGUUUUCCCUCUAGUGGUGUUAUGUGAACGUCGACUACAUAACACUUCACCAUGUUUGGGCCUAGAGGAAGGCAUUGGGAAGUAGUAAGUAGAUGAUGGGUUGCUGGAGUGACACAAGCUUAAACCCCAGUUUAUGCGUUGCUUCGUGAGGGGCUGAUUUGGAUCCACUAGUUUAAUGCUAUGGUUAGACUUUGUCUUAAUUCUUCUUUUGUAGUUGCGGAUGCUUGCGAGAGAGGUUAAUCAUAAGUGGAUGCUUUUCCAAGUAAGGGCAGUACCCAAGCGCCGGUCCACCCACAUAUCAAACUAUCAAAGUAACGAACGUGAAUCAUAUGAACAUGAUGAAACUAGCAUGACAGAAAUUCCCGUGUGUCCUCGGGAGCGUUUUUCCUCCUAUAAGACUUUGUUCAGGCUUGUCCCUUGCUACAAAAGGGAUUGGGACACUUGCUGCACUGUUUCUACUACUUGUUACUUGUUACUCUUUGCUUGCUACGUUUCACCUCGCUACACAAUCACCUAUUACCGCUACUUUCAGUGCUUGCAGUUAUUACCUUGCUGAAAUCCGUUUAUCACAGCCUUCUGCUCCUCGUUGGGUUCGACACUCAUACUUAUCGAAAGGACUAUGAUUGAUCCCCUAUACUUGUGGGUCAUCAAGACUCUUUUCUGGCGCCGUUGCCGGGGAGUGAAGCGCCUUUGGUAACUGGAAAUUGGUAAGGAAACAUUUAUAUACUAUGCUGAAAUUUAUUGUCACUUGUCACUAUGGAAACUCUUCCUUUGAGGAGUUUGUUCGGGGUAUAUUCACCACGAACGGAAGCACGAGGAGUUGCUCCUCAACCUGAGGUACCUACUGAAAAUAUCUUUUAUGAAAUUGCUUUGGGUAUGCUUGAGAAACUGCUGGCUAAUCCUUUCACAGGAGAUGGAUCUUCACAUCCAGACUUUCAUCUAAUCUAUGUAGAUGAAGUUUGUGGUUUAUUUAAGCUUGCAGGUUUGCCCGAGGAUGAGGUAAAUAAGAAAGUCUUUCCUUUAUCUUUGAAGGAUAAGGAGUUGACAUGGUAUAGGCUAUGUGAUGAUGAUGGAUCAUGGGGCUACAAUCGGUUGAAAUUGGAAUUUCAUCAAAAGUUCUAUCCUAUGCAUUUAGUACAUCGUGAUCGGAACUUUAUUUAUAACUUUUGGCCUCGUGACAGGGAAAGCAUAGCUCAAGCUUGGGGAGGCUUAAAUCAAUGAUAUAUUCAUGCCCCAAUCAUGAGCUCUCGAGAGAAAUCAUCACUCAAAACUUUUAUGCUCGGCUUUCUCAUGAAGAUCGUACCAUGCUUGACACUUCUUGUGCCGAUUCUUUUAUGAAGAAGGAUAUUGAUCACAAGUGGAAUUUAUUGGAGAGAAUCAAACGCAACUCCGAAGAUUGGGAGUUGGAGGAAGGUAAGGACUCAGGUAUGAAUUUCCAGUUUGAUUGCGUUAAAUCUUUUGUUGAGACAAACACUUCUAGAGAUUUUAGCGCUAAGUAUGGACUUGACUCUGAGAUAGUAGCAUCUCUUUGUGAAUCUUUUGCUGCUCAUGUUGAACUUCCCAAAGAGAAGUGGCAUCCUCCUGUAGAAAGCAACAUAGCCUAAACCAAUCUAGUUGAGGAGAAAAUCAUAGCUUUUAGUGAUCCUGUUGUUCCUUGUGCUUACACUAAGAAACCACCAUCCCCUGCUAGAAUGAAGGAUUAUUCUAAAGCUCCAACUGUGAUAUGUAGGGGUUACAUUAGACCACUUGCACCCCCUGAGGAGAUUAGAGUUGAACCUAGUGUUGCUAUUAUCAAAGAUCUCUUAGCCGAAGACAUAGAUGGGCAUGUUAUUAAAUUCUGUGAGGACUCUGCUAGAAUUGCUAAACCUCACGCGAAAGACAAGCAUGGACCUGUAGUUGGCCUUCUCGUUGUUUCUGUUAAGAUAGGAGAUCACUGCUACCAUGGUUUAUGUGAUAUGGGAGCUAGUGUUAUUGCAAUACCCCGUUAUCUCUAUGAUGAAAUCAAAGAUGAGAUUGCACCUGCUGAGAUAGAAUCCAUUGAUGUCACUAUCACGCUAGCUAAUAGAGACACUAUCUGCCCUUUGGGAAUUGUGAGAGACGUAGAAGUCCUGUGUGGUAAGACGAAGUAUCCUACUGAUUUCCUCCUCCUCGGUACUGCACAAGAUAGCUUUUGUCCCAUCAUAUUUGGUAGACCCUUUCUCAACACUGUCAAUGCUCACAUUGAUUGCAUUAAGCAGACUGUCACAGUAAGUUUUGAGGGUGUGUCUCAUGAAUUUAACUUCUCCAAGUUUGGAAGACAACCCCAUGAAAGAGAGUCGUCUGGUAGAGAUGAAAUCAUUUCUCUUGCCUCUAUUGCCGUACCUCCUACGGAUCCUUUAGAGCAAUAUCUUGAGCAUGAAAAUGAUAUGCAUAUGGAGGAGAGAGAUGAGAUAGAUAGAAUUGUCUUAGAACAACAUCCUAUUCUCAAGAAUAAUCUGCCUGUUGAACUGCUUGGGGAUCCUCCCCCACCUAAGGGUGAUCCUGUGUUCGAGCUUAAAUAGUUGCCUGAUACUCUUAAGUAUGCCUAUCUUGAUGAGAAGGAUAUAUAUCCUGUCAUUAUCAGUGCCCUCCUCUCAGAGCUCGAAGAGAAGAAGUUACUAAAAACUCUGAGGAAGCACCGCGCUGCUAUUGGAUAUACUCUUGAUGAUCUUAAUUAAGGGUAUUAGUCCUACUCUAUGUCAGCACAAGAUUAAAACCGAUCCUGACUUUAAACCAGUUGCUGAUCAUCAAAGGAGAUUGAAUCCUAAGAUGAAAGAGGUCGUUAGAAAAGAAAUAUUAAAGCUUCUGGAAGCAGGAAUCAUUUAUCCUGUUGCUCAUAGUGAUUGGUAAGUCCAGUACAUUGCGUACCUAAGAAGGGAGGUAUCACCGUCGUUCCUAAUGAUAAGGAUGAACUAAUCCCACAAAGGAUUAUUACCGGCUAUAGAAUGGUGAUAGACUUCCGGAAACUGAACAAGGCAACCAGGAAAGAUCAUUAUCCUUUGUCGUUCAUCGACCAAAUGCUAGAAAGGCUAUCAAAACACACACACUUCUGCUUUCUAGACGGUUAUUCAGGUUUCUCGUAGAUACUUGUUGCACAAUCUGAUCAAGAGUAAACCACUUUCACCUGCCCUUUCGGUACCUUUGCCUAUAGACGUAUGCCUUUUGGCUUAUGCAAUGCACCCGCCACCUUCCAAAGAUGUAUGAUGGCUAUAUUCUCUGACUUCUGUGAAAAGAUUGUCGAGGUUUUCAUGGAUUACUUCUCCGUUUAUGGGUCUUCCUUUGAUGAUUGCCUCAGCAACCUUGAUGGAGUCUUACAGAGAUGCGAAGAAACCAACCUCGUCUUGAAUUGGGAGAAGUGCCACUUUAUGGUUAAUGAAGGUAUCGUCUUAGGACACAAAAUCUCUGAAAGAGGCAUUGAAGUUGAUAAGGCUAAGGUUGAUGCAAUUGAUAAAAUGCCUUGCCCCACAGAUAUCAGAGGUAUACGAAGUUUCCUAGGUCAUGCUGGUUUGUAUAGAAGGUUCAUUAAAGACUUAUCUAAGAUUUCUAGGCCUCUUACCAACCUCUUGCAGAAGGAUGUUCCUUUUGUUUUUGAUGAGGAUUGUGAGGAAGCCUUCGAAAUACUUAAGAAGGCUUUGAUAACCGCACCUAUUGUUCAACCACCUGACUGGAACUUGCCCUUUGAAAUCAUGUGUGUCGCUAGUGAUUACGCUGUUGGUGCUGUUCUAGGACAAAGAGUUGACAAGAAGUUGAAUGUCAUUCACUACGCUAGUAAAACUCUAGACAGUGCCCAAAGAAACUAUGUCACUAUGGAGAAGAAAUUUUUAGUAGUCGUGUUUGCAUGUGAAAAAACAGAUCUUACAUAGUUGACUCCAAAGUCACUAUUCACUCUGAUCAGUCUGCUAUUAAGUACCUUAUGCAGAAGAAGGAUGCUAAGCCUAGGCUGAUCAGAUGGGUUCUCCUGCUACAGGAAUUUGAUUUGCACGUCGUUGACCGAAAAGGUGCUGACAAUCCUAUAGCAGAUAACUUGUCUAGACUAGAGAAUGUCCGUGAUGACCCACUACCAAUUGAUGACAGCUUUCCUGAUGAGCAAUUAAAUGUCAUCCGCACUUCACUUAGUGCACCGUGGUAUGCCGAUUAUGCAAACUAUAUCGUAGCCAAAUACAUACCACCCAGUUUCACCUAUGAACAAAAGAGGAAAUUCUUCGUUGAUUUGAGACACUACUUCUGGGAUGAUCCUCACCUUUAUAAGGAAGGAGUAGAUGGUGUUAUUAGACGUUGUGUGCCUGAACAUGAACAGGGACAGAUCCUGCAGAAGUGUCAUUCCGAAGCCUACGGAGGACACCAUGCUGGAGAUAGAAUUGCCCAUAAGGUAUUGCAAUCAGGUUUCUAUUGGCCCACUCUCUUCAAGGAUGCCCGUAAGUUUGUCUUUUCUUGUGACGAAUGCCUAAGGAUAGGGAACAUCAGUAAGCGUCAAGAGAUGCCUAUGAACUAUUCACUUGUCAUUGAACCAUUUGAUGUCUGGGGCUUUGAUUAUAUGGGACCCUUCCCGAGUUCCGAUGGGUACACUCACAUCUUAGUUGCUGUGGAUUACGUUACUAAGUGGGUAGAAGCUAUCCCCACUAAAAAUGCUGAUCACCACACCUCUAUUAAGAUGCUUAAAGAAGUCAUAUUCCCAAGAUUUGGAGUCCCUAGAUACUUGAUGACUGAUUGCGAUUCACACUUCAUUCAUGGUGUUUUCCGCAAGAUGCUAGCUAAGUAUGAUGUCAACCAUAGAGUUGCAUCUCCUUAUCAUCCUCAGUCUAGUGGUCAAGUGGAGUUGAGUAAUAGGGAGAUCAAAUUGAUCCUACAAAAGACCGUCAAUAGAUCUCGAAAGAACUGGUCAAGCAAACUUGACGAUGCACUAUGGGCUUAUAGGACUGCUUAUAAGAAUUCCAUGGGCAUGUCACCGUAUAAAAUGGUUUACGGUAAAGUCUAUCAUUUACCUCUUGAGCUGGAACACAAAGCUUAUUGGGCAAUCAAAGAGCUCAACUUUGAUUUCAAACUUGCUGGUGAGAAGCGGUUGUUUGAUAUCAGCUCGUUGGAUGAAUGGAGAGCCCAGGCAUAUGAGAAUGCCAGGUUGUUCAAGGAAAAGGUUAAGAGAUGGCACGACAAACGAAUACAGAAACGAGAGUUCAAUGUAGGUGAUUAUGUCUUGCUAUACAAUUCUCGUUUGAGAUUCUUUGCACGCUAGCUUCUCUCUAAAUGGGAAGGUUCCUAUGUUGUCGAGGAAGUAUAUCGUUCCGGUGCCAUCAAAAUCAAUAACACGGAAGGAAAUUUUCCUAGAGUGGUAAAUGGGCAAAGAAUCAAGCAUUACAUCUCUGGUACUCCCAUAAAUGUUGAGACCAAUAUCAUCAAUGUCAUAACUCCAGAGGAGUACAUAAGGGAUGUUUAUCAGCCUGUUUCAGACCUUGAAAACGAAGAUGUAUCUGUUUCGGCAAGAAAUUGGACUCCGAUAUUUUGUACGCAAGUAUGCAUGAUUGAAUGAAUCAUGAUACGAUCAACGUAUUUUGGCAUUCACUUUCUACAUCUUGUUUUUGUUCUUUUUUUCUUGUUUCUAUCAUUGUGGCACUCGGAUGGAUGGCGACGCUUCUUUUUUGAGUUCAUCUUCCAGGCUUCGAUUCUCAUUAAGUCUGUCCGUCUGGACAUAGUCGACGGAGCUACUGCGUAGAAUCAUGUUGUCUUCUUCUCGUGACGAGGUUAUGGUUUCUCGUCAUAUGACGAGAUUUGGUGUCAUUGCUUCAGAUCAAUGAAAUGGUUCUAUAGCGACGACUACGGUCCCAGGGUUUGGUCCUUACGUGCAUCUGGAGGAAGAUAUCUCGGAUGUCAUCGUCAGUGUCAAGUUGGCUCCGGUAGGGGAGCGGUGACAGCGAUGCAUCGUCGACACGUUCUAUCAGUUAAGUGGUUAUUCGGUGGUUUCGGAAUCUCAUUCUAAUUUUUAUUAUGUUUGAGAUGCUUUGUAUUUUCGAUGAACGUUUAUAAAAGAUCUGAUACUUUGCUUAAAAAUGAAUGAAAAAUGAUCCUUCCCCAUCGACUCUACUUCCGCUGCGCUACGAGUCGGUAAUGAUCAGAUAAAACCCUGUAUGCAUCUCCUUAGUGGUCCUGGGCGUGCUCGUAGUACCGAAAUUUUUUGUUUUCUAUCGCGUUCCUCUACAGUGGAAUCAUGAGCUAAGCUAUGGGUAGAUGGAGGUUAUGAUCUAGAAUACAUGAGAUGUAUGGGUAUAGCAUAGUAUAAUUUUGUAGUAGAUGAGAUCUAUUGCUGAAAAUUAUAUGUGCGGGUAGUAGAUGAAAUCUAUUACCCAAUAUUCUUGUUGCUUCGCGUGAAUUUGUGUGGUCCUGAUCCUGACGGCAUGGUGGAAUCUUACAAAGUUUUGGCAAUCCGCGAUCCUUUCAUGCUGCUCUUGAGUAUGUUGAUUGAUAGAUCACCGAAGUGCUUCAGUGCUUUUGGGUUCCACCAUAGUUGAGAAAGAUGGAUGUUUCGCAGACGAAAGGGAAAUGCAGAUAUGAUCUGCACGGGGGUCAUGCAUAUGACGAAGUUUAGUAUGGGGCUUGAGCUUUUAUUAUCUCGUGUUUCAUACACCUUGGAAAGUUAAUCUAGCAACUUGAAUUAUUAUACCUGAUGAUGAACGUUGGUAGCUGCAGUUUAAGUCAAAAACAUAGAAGCCAUGUAAAAAUAAAAUUUUGCAUUAACCAAUUAGAGGCGUCUAACUUGAUUUUACAGAAUGUGCAUGAGAUGUGGUAUAACAAUUCUCAUAUUCAACUUGAUUACGUAUGAGAUGACUAUAUAAUGUAAAUUAACAUGACCUGUGUGUCAUGAUUCUGCAUGAUGGCUGGAGCCAUAUGAUUGUCACUUUAAUGACAUGUGUUUCGACAUUAAGUAAUGCAUUUAUUUUACCAGCUAUAGAGAUAGCAAUAUUAUUUGAUGCGUCGAAAAGGUGGUGGCAAUAUUAUCUGAUGUGUACAUAUAUUUGUGCUAACCCUUUUCAAGUAUCCACACAACAUUUUUUUAUAAAUUGUGUACUUUUUCUUGGGUUUUAACUCAUCCUAAGUUGUUGUUCCCAUGAUCUUCGUGGGAAACCGUCUACUAUGUAGCUUCUCAUCCUGAAAAAAGGACCAGUUUUUGUAAGGUUGUUGUGUUCUUGGUUCUUUCACAAAAGUAUUGACUAGAUACUCUGCCUCUUUCUCUGAUAUCGGGCUUUCAACUCUCUAGUUAGGGUCAAAGGCUUAGAAUGUUACUCAUUAUGUAAACGAAUAUAAGACAGUUUAGAUCACUAUUAGCAUCUAAAAUGUUAAUAGUGACUCCCUAUAUAAACCAACAAAAGAACCCUUACGUUCUUUAUAUCAAGAUGGCAUUAGCAAUAGAACACUUACGUUACAAUGGGGCAGAAAAAUACCGCACAUCCUUAAUCCAAUAACCAUGACUCAAGGCUGCAUUCGGUCCACGUGGAUACCGUUUGUGUUGCGGCUUAUCCUCAUUACAACCCUUGCCGACAGUGGCCUCAGUCCUCAAACAACCACAACACGUUUGAAUGUGAUCAAUCCUAACGUGUAUUGCUCUCUCUCGGCAUCAAAUGAGAAAUCUUCUUUAUUUUCCCCUUGCAAGGUUUUGUCGAGGCUUGCUUGCGAGGCUAUAGAUGAUUUGUUUUGUCUCCAAUGUGGUUUUGCUAAGGUGCGAUUUCUAUUCCGUUACUACACUGUUUUCAAAGAAAGACGAACCGUGAGCUAUUGAUUAAGAUGGCAACCUAAAUAAUAUUUUAAAAGUGUUUAACAGGUAAAACAAAAUCACAUUCAGAUUCUAUAAUUCUUCUAAUUAAUCUUCAUCUAUAACAUGUCAAAAUUGAAGUUCGGGUUUAAAAGAUAUGGAUGUUCUUAAAAGUAUUUUAAUCAGCCCAUGGAGUUUGGGUUUAUUGAACAAAAUAUCGUUCUGAAAAACAUAGAAGAUUUUCUGGAGUCACUCAAAACAGGACAGUGGGUCGUUUAACCGAAAGGUUAAGAAGUUUUCAGUUAAAAAAAUAAAUAUUUUUUAUAUUCACUUAAAACCAGGACCGUGCGUUGAUUUCAUGAAACAAUAGGGUUUUUUCUUUGCAAAAGGCGCGACGGAUGGGUAGAAACAUUUCUCCUUUUAUUAGUAGGUAAAGACUAGUGAUCAAGAAUGUAUUAUACUCCCUUCAUUUCUAAAUAUAAGUGUUUUUAGAGAUUUCACUAAAAACUAUAUACGGAUGUAUAUAGACACAAUUUAGAUUGUAGAUUCAUUCAUUUUGCUUAAUAAUGGAGGAAGUAUUAGUUUACAGAUGUAGUGUCUUUAUGUGGCUAGCGAAAUACCAACAAUAUCUACAUGAUUAAAUGGAUGUGCCUAUAUGUGCAAUUCAGAGAGCUUGAGAGAGCAAGUUUUGGAUGAAUCCACCUUACUAUAUCCUAGUACAUCCAUCACACGUACAGCUAGCUAGGGAACCCUGACGCAAUGACGUGCAUAUAUAGAUAUGAGGCAACCCUGCCGACAUGGAAAACUAUAUGUCCAUGUGAACACUUGACUGGUCAUACUACACUACAAGAAAAUAGAAUAACCACACACGCAAUGUAUAUCAGAAUACCAGCACCGCGUAGACUUCACUAAUUGCAUGACAGGUCGAUCGACUUGCAUGUCCCAUGGAAAUGACUGGCCUAGGAUCACAGCAGUGGGGUGUCAGUUCGUAAAAUUUAACUUAAGUACCAUCUUAGUUUUAACAAAUAGUCCUAAAAUGGCACAAAGUUGUCAGAGAAUUAUAGCGAAUAUAGUAUAAAGUAGUUUGCAUUUUUUAGAGGAGUGCCACAGCCAUGGCAGUAUGGCACCUCAAGAUCUGCAGCUGUUUCGUGUAUUGGAGCUAAAUAAUGAGUGCAACAUUUCGGUGUCCUCUGCAUCCGGUUAGGAAAAAAAUCAUAAAAAACUUCAAAAAAUGCCAAUAAAAUCAAAAAAAAUCUCAUGGUAGAAAAGUUUUUGCGUGAGGUCCGCUCCAAUUUUUAGAUUAUUUGAACAUCUGAUAAGCUCUCAGCAAAAAAGAUAAAUUGGAUCAGAACAGUGUAUGAACCAUAACUUUUUUAUGAACCCUGAAUUUGUCUUUUUUUCUGAGAGAUGCUGAGAUGUUUAAAUGAUUUAAAAACUGAAGGGGCCUUUACCAUCAAAUUAUCUACAACGUAAAAAAAUCUAGUAUUUGUUUUGAUUUUAUUUUCUUCGGCGCGGGGUGCAGAUGAGCCUGGGCUCGGAAGUGGAUUAUCGCUAAAUAAUAUGUUGUUUUGUCAAAAGAAAGAUAGGACCCCCAGCCUCUGCAACCUCUGCAUUAUGAUGAUGCACACAACCAUAUUUAUUAAAGUUGAUGUAAGGGGCAGAGAACAAAAUUAUCAAUAAGUGUAGUACAUAACUAUUACAAGAUGUGAAUUUAACACUUAGGACUAAAUCGACUUCUUUCGCAAGACUUCAGUAAGGAAAAGACGCCCUCACAUCAUCGUCAUCACAUUCGACCGGAGACGUCUAGGACACGAAUUUCCAUCCUAGUAGCCCAACCAAGGCCGGGCGGGUCGCUGUUGGAUAUGAAUCCUGCAACUACCCUUGUUGGGCCAGUGGCUCCAGUCGAAGGCGCGAGAUGGCACAACUGCCCCGUCUACUUUAACGGGACCAUGAAGGCGCCUCAAAGCGCCAGCAUCACUCGCCAUGAGGAGCUCUCGAAGAUGGACUUGAGAGAAGGGGAGCGCUUACACGAUUUUGCUCAAGGAGAGGGGGAGCGCUUACACGAUUUUGCUCAAGGAGAGGGUGCAUCGUAAAAUCGCACGGUCUCCUAGAUUAGGGGGUAUUAACCUGGUCGGUCCACGCUCCUCGAAUUGGGCCGAUGGGCCAUCAUCCUACUCGAGGUGGACUCCGGAAGCUGCACAUUGGGUGUUAUCAAGGUUACAUCUGCCGAAGGCUUGACAUAUACUUCAAGACUCCUCCUCCCGCCUCUAUGUUAGGAUACCGACCUUGUAGCCCUAGAUAUCCUACGUAGGGUUUUACCUUCAUCAAGAGGGCUCGAACCUGGAUAAACAUCGUCUCCCUGUUCCUGUUAUCAUUUGUCCAACAUCAACAGCUUGGGGCCUCCUACCCCGAGGUCUACCGGUUUUCACACCCACUGUGUUCUCUCAAGAAAAAAAUGCUAUAUUUUUUUAACCGGUCUAACCCCCUUUCCAUUACUUGAAUAACGAAAUACAUCAGAUCCUAGAGUUCAACAGGAGGAGGGAAAGGAGAUAGAGCGAGUUCAACCAUUGCUAGGAAACCCACUGUGACCGCUCGUCAUCGAAUCGAUCACUGCGAGACGAAAACCUAGCUACAAUAUCCUAGCGGGAGAAGUAUCAUUCCUAUUACAACCUAGGAAUAAUAGGUACAAAAGAGAUAAUAGACUAAACAGUUUUUAAGUAUGUCAGAACACCACAAAAAGACUGCCAGCAGCCACCCUUGCAAAAGUGCAUCGUCCCCAUACCUCCGCUGUUCAUCCACGGCCAGCAUUGCACAGCCUCAUCAGUGACACAGUCCCCGCCCGAACAACUUCAGUUCCGGUUCGCAUCCUCUUCAUGUCGCCUGCUGGCUGCAAACCUGCCCAAUAAAGAAGGAAAGAGCAAUCAGUAAACACAAUCUCAAAUGAAGAUUUGAUCGGUUUUUUCUCCAAGGUAGGUGGAUUCCGAGCUAACCAAAUAGCCCAGGUAAUUGCAGCCAAGCCCACCGUAUAGAAUUUAUCAUCUCCAGGCAUGAAACAAUGGGACCAGGCAAAGUAUUGUCAGUGGUUGUUGGGUCCAAAAUAUGUCCCCAAACAAACCCCAGCCGAACGCCAUAACGCCAUAACUCUACAAAAAAGUGAUAUAAUGUGUAACUAUUUUGUUCAAGUCGAGCAGAUGGACUCUAUCUUGCACCAUAGCGUUUAAGCAGUAUUGAAAUUAGGUCCGCCUAUACAUCAAGUAUCUUGGGAAAAAAAACUGCAUCGAUCAAUUUUCCCAGCAGUUGGAUGGCACGAUCGUGGCACCACCUAUUAUCGUUUUCGCCCCUCACAUCGUACCUCCGUUCGGCCUCGCACAAAACAAAUUGUGUCUGACGCAAAGAAAAAAUGUAGGUACCUGAUGUUUAUCUAAACAAAUUGUGUGUUGGAUUAACUACUUAUUAUACAACAAGCUGAAGGUAUGUGUCCAGCCGUGCCAACGAGCCCGUACGGAAGAUAUAAUAGACACAUGAAAUCAAAGACAUACAGCUCGGAUAUGCGUCUCCCGUGAACGUGAUGAUCAGGGUAAGCCAGCUCCUAGAGCUGCCNNNNNNNNNNACAGAUGGACUCUAUCUUGCACCACAGCGUUUAAGCAGUAUUGAAAUUAGGUCGAGCAUAUGGUUUUCGCCCCUCACAUCGUACCUUCGUUCGGCCUCGCACAAAACAAAUUGUGACUGACGCAAAAAAAAAAUUCAGGUACCUGAUGUUUAUCAAAUGUGUGGAAUUCUUCGUCGGCACAACCAAUGGCGUCCUGGAUUAACUAAUUAUUAUACAACAAGCUGAAGGUAUGUGUCCAGCCGUGCCAACGAGCCCGUACGGAAGAUAUAAUGGACACAUGAAAUCAAAAAACCAUACAGCUCGUAUAUGUGUCUCCCGUGAACGUGAUGAUCAGGGUAAGCCAGCUCCGAGAGCUGCCAUGCCAGAUAUAUAUAUUCCUUUGUCCGAUGCGAUGCUCUAGAUUAUUUUGGCUCCACACUCGUAAAUCCAUCAAAUAUUUAUGUGCACUCUGCAGCAGACAACAUGCACAUAGGAGUACUCUUCUUGAAAANNNNNNNNNNUUUGAGAGCUCCCGUGAACCUUUGUCCGAUGUGAUGCUCUAAAUUAUUUUGGCUCCACACUCGUAAACCCAUCAAAUAUUUAUUUGCACUCUGCAGCAGACAACAUGCACAUAGGAGUACUCUUCUUGAAAACUAAAGGAAAGUCUCGUGGCACAGCUCUCAGGUUUUUGUUCAUUAGCGAACACAUUAAGCUCUAAUGAUGGAUGUCACACGUAACAUGCCAGUACAAUAAUGGUUGCACAUGAGUUUUGGAAAUUACCACGGCAACAGGCAAACUAACUACGUCGAUUGAUAAUGACAUGAACGAGGCACUUGCACNNNNNNNNNNCAAUGAUGGAUGUCACACACGUAACAUGCCAGUACAAUAAUGGUUGCACAUGAGUUUUGGAAAGUACCACGGCAACACGCAAACUAACUACGUCGAUUGAUAAUGACAUGAACGAGGCACUUGCACNNNNNNNNNNCUCGAUUGAUGAUGACAUGAAGGCACUUGCACACCACACCCGGUCUAUAAGUACCACCCCCAAACAACCCAAGAAAACCAUCCCAAGCUAGCAUACCCUACAAGCUUAAUUAGCCACAUACCAGCACAAACGAUCAGUAGCAAUNNNNNNNNNNUCUGUCCCAACAGCACUUGCACACCCCACCCGGUCUAUAAGUACCACCCCAAACAACCCAAGAAAACCAUCCCAAGCUAGCAUAGCCUACAAGCUUAAUUAGCCACAUACCAAAGGGCCUCCUGCCUGGGCUCACCGCACCGGCCACGUGGAGGCCCAUCUGUCCCGGUUUAUGCAAGAACCGAGACUAAAGGUUUAGGGCAUUAGUACCGACACUUUAGUCCCGGUUCAAAAAACGGGACAAAUGGCCCUCACGAACCGGGACAAUAGGUCCUUUUUCUACUAAUGGGAUAAGCUCUUUUGCAUUGUAGCUCGCUGGACGGUGUGGUUUAACUUUAGGUUUGUCCUUGUGAUGUUCGUGCUAUGCAUCAAGUGAUAGCUNNNNNNNNNNNNNNNNNNNNNNNNNNNNNNNNNNNNNNNNNNNNNNNNCUGGACACAUGGAAUCAAAACCGUACGAGACUCCUAUAUGUGUCUCCCGUGAACGUGAUGAUCAGGGUAAGCCAGCUCCUAGAGCUGCCAUGCCAGAUAUAUGUAUAUAUUCCUUUGUCCGAUCCGGUGCUCCAGAUUAUUAUGGCCACACUUGUAAGCCCAUCAAAUAUUUAUGUACACACAGCAGACAACAUGCAUAUAGGAGUANNNNNNNNNNAUGGACACAUGGAAUCAAAAUCGUACGACUCCUAUUUGUGUCUCCGUGAACGUGAUGAUCAGGGUAAGCCAGCUCCUAGAGCUGCCAUGCCAGAUAUAUCUAUUCCUUUGUCCGAUCCUGUGCUCCAGAUUAUUAUGGCCACACUUGUAAGCCAUCAAAUAUUUAUGUACACACAGCAGACAACAUGCAUAUAGGAGUACUCUUCUUGGAAACAAAAGGAAACUCUCAUGGCACAGCUCUCAAGUUUUUGUUCAUUAGCGAACAGAUUAAGCUCCAAUGAUGGAUGUCACACCCGUAACAUGCGAGUACAAUAAUGGUUGCACAUGAGUUUUGGAAAUUACCACGGCAAGAUUGAAACUAAUUACGUCGAUUGAUAAUGACAUGAACGAGGCAUUUGUUGGAAAUAAGUCGUGACGGAGCACGGUGCGACCGGCGUCGAUGCGUCGGGUCGGGUCCGUGACGGUGCGACCGACGUUGGUGCGUCGGGUCGGGUUCCGCAGGCUGGGUUACGACAACAUUGUGUGCAUGUACGUGUGGCGUGUGUGUAGUGCAGCGCAAAGCGUGCGUGGUCGCCAAGGCAGCUCGAGCUGGCCGUUAGCACGUUGUGCGCCUCGUGCGUGCUGGCCGGGCGGAUCGCUAGCUCUAGGUGCGUGCGUGCGUAGGAGACGUGGACGCUGCGUACCUGUAGGACUACAAAGCCGCGGACGCGAACAUGUAUUCAUCAGGGAAAGGAAGCAAAGUGGCUGUGUGUGCGGCCAGGCGUUAGUCGCCGGAAAAACUCCAGUGUGCAUUCUCCUUUCUUCUACCUCUGUCCAGUUGUGUGUGAGAGANNNNNNNNNNUCGAGUUCGUCGCUUGCCGCGCCGGGCAGGAGAACGAGAGGAAGAAGAAGAGAAAUGGAUGAUUUGGUUCGAAAUUUUCUAACUCCCGCUUAUACAGGUGGAUCUACAGUCCCGAUUCGUGGCUCGAUCCGGGACUAAAGAUCCUUUAGUCCCGGAUGGAGCCACGAACUGGGACUAAAGGCCCUUUUUCGGCUGACCAGAAGGCGGGAAGCAGGGGCCUUUAGUCCCGGGGCGUGGCUCGAACCGGGACUAAAGACCACUUUAGUCCCGGGUGGAGCCACGACCCGGGACUAAAGCCCCUUUUUCGGCUGACCAGAAGGCGGGAAGCAGGGGCCUUUAGUCCCGGGGCGUGGAAAGAACCGGGACUAAAGUUUUGCCUAUAUAAACCCUCGCCCCUGCCCACCAUAUCCCCUGUUUUUUGGUUGUUGAAGUGUGACCAUGCCAUGCUCUUGCCACUCUAGUUCAUGCACAUGACGUGUUCGAUGAAAUGCUCGAGCCACUCUACUUAAGCUUUCUCCUCUCCAAGCUCGACCUCCAAGCUCCAUUUUCCUUAAUAUUUGUCUAGGUUUGGCCGUGCACCAACUGCGAGCACCACCGUGGUGAGCCUCUUGUUCUUAUCUUCUUUUUAAAAUUAAAAAAAUCUUACUUGUAUGAAUUAUAUACAUACUUGUAUAAAUUACUCACUUUCAUUAUUUUUUGUUAUGAUAUAGUGCGAUGGUUUUGGUAUCCGCCUCCGUCGGCCCUCGUCCUGUCUAUGAUUCGGAUGUGGUAUAUAUUAUAUUUUAUAACUAUUUGUUUUAUUUAGUGUUUAUGACAAUUAUGACAUAUAUUUUUUAAUCUAGGAGGUAUGUGAACCGGAAAUUCCAACCCACAUAAAAAUUCUUGUCGAGAAGUUCAAUUUGGUUGAAAAAGAAAACAAAUACUUGAAGAAAAAAUUGAAAAUAAUUGAGGAUAAGAAUAUGGAACUGGAGUUGCAUGUCGCCGAUGUCAUCGAUGAUUGCAAGAUGAAGAUCGAUGCGAUGCGGUUGAAGAUGGAUGCAAUGCGCUUGAAGAUGGAUGAAAUGCGCUUGAAGAUUAGGAAUAUUAGAAAAUAUGCCAUUGAUAAGGAGGUUGGUAUCAUUAUGUUGUUGGGUCAAUUGUUACCUUAGUGCGAUUUUGAUCGCGUUUGUUGUUGCAUUUAAAUGUUUUACAUAGUUGUAUGUUGUUUCAUGAGAGAACUUUAUGUAUUUAUUUUUUGCAAUAAUAACAUUUGGUCACUACUGUUCUUUGGCUUUAAUGUGAUGAUGAACUUGUAUUAAUUUGGUCAUAUGUUUUGCAAUGGUUUUUUAAUAUAUUUGAUUUCAUAAUAGAGAUGAAUCGCCAAUGAUAAUAUUUAAUUUCAUAAUAUGGUUUUUUGAACUCCAUAAAAAGUUGAGAGGGCUACGACAAAAACUAGAUGCACUUCGUGUACAAAACGGACAAUCUCUCUCGAAGUAUCAGGGUUUCGAACGAGAACUUGUCUCUUACAAAGGGAUUUCAUUUUUGUGAACUUAUUUGAACUCCAUACUUUUUGGUGUGUUCAAAAUGCACCAUUCAAAGGCACAACACAAAAUUUCAACAAUUUCUGACUUCAUUUGGUAUAUUUCGUGGAUUUACUUAUUUGUUUUGAGCUAGUUGACCCUGAAAUUGAAAAGCACUACAAAUGAACUCUGAAAAUGUUGAAAGUUGGCAUGCUAUCAUCAUUUCACCCACAUAGCAUGUGCUAAAAAGUUGAGAGGGCUACGACAAAAACUGGAUGCACUUCGUGUACAAAACGGACAAUCUCUCUCGAAGUAUCAGGGUGUCGAACGAGAACUCAUCUCUUACAUGGAUAAUAUGAAAAUGAAAAGUGUUUGAAAUUUAGUACGUUCCAUACAUGCAUUACAUAAAAGGUUUAAUANNNNNNNNNNUUGGAUGCACUUCGUGUACAAAACGGACAAUCUCUCUCGAAGUAUGAGGGUUUCGAACGAGAACUCAUCUCUUACAUGGAUAAUAUGAAAAUGAAAAGUUUUUGAAAUUUAGUACGUUCCAUACAUGCAUUACAUAAAAGGUUUAAUACAUUAUUACAUUAUUGCACCAAUAUUCCUAUCUAUUAUUUCUGUUUUAUUCUGGGUCAUAGCCAUGGAGAAUCUUCAUCAUUCAUUAGGAUGCUUGGGUCAUUUUUCACUUUGAAGGGCGGAAUUUCAUGAAACUUAUUAUAAUCUUCUGNNNNNNNNNNCUUUUCUUCUGGGUCGUAGCCAUGGAGAAUCUUCAUCAUUCAGUAGGAUGCUUGGGUCAGUUUUCACUUUGAAGGGCGGAAUUUCAUGAAACUUAUUAUAAUCUUCUGACAUGUCUGUCUUGUCAUCUACUCCCACGAUGUUUCUUUUCCCUGAAAGAACCAUGUGGCGUUUUGGCUCAUCGGAUGAUAUCUUCUUUUGCUGAUUUCUUUUUCUCGUUAAUGUAGACAUGUCCUUCACAUAGAAAACCUGAGCGACAUCAUUGGCUAGGACAAAUGGUUCGUCCAUGUACGCAAGAUUGUUAAGAUCCACUGUUGUCAUGCCGUACUUUUGGUCUACAACUAACCCGCCUCCUCUCAGUUUCACCCAUUUGCACCGAAAUAAAGGAAUCAUAAAAGUAGGUCCAUAGUCAAGUUCCCAUAUCUCCUCUAUGUACCCGUAAUAUGUUUCCAAACAGUGCCCAUUCUCGUCUGUUGCAUCAAAGCAUACACCACUAUUUUGGUUGGUGCUCUUUUUAUCUUGGGCAACCGUGUAAAAUGUAUUCCCAUUUAUCUCAUACCCUUGCAAAGUACAUAUAGUCGAAGAUGGUGGCCUGGCCAAACAGUACAGCUCAUCUCCAACGGUGUCGUCAUUCAGGAGAUGUGUCUGCAACCAACUNNNNNNNNNNGAAAGUACAUAUAGUCGAAGAUGGUGGCCUGGCCAAACAAACAACUCAUCUCCAACGGUGUCGUCAUUCAGGAGAUGUGUCUGCAACCAACUGCCGAAAGUCUUCUCGUGUUCCCCUUUAAUCCAAGAGUCAGCCUUCCCCGGGUUUUCGGAGCGUAGAAUAUUCUUGUGUCUCACGAUAUACGGAGCCACCAUGGUGGAAUUGUGUAGAACUGUGUAGUGUGCUUGAGAGAAAGAAUGCUCGUCCAUACAUACUUUUGCUUUCCUUCCUAGUGUGCCUUUUCCUGUCAGCCUACCCUCAUACCGAGAUUCAGGAACACCAAUCGGCUUAAGGUCAGGAAGAAAGUCCACACAAAACUCAAUGACCUCCUCUGUUCCAUAGCCCUUGGAGAUGCUUCCUUCUGGCCUAGCACGGUUACGAACAUAUUUCUUUAAGACUUCCAUGGACCUCUCGAAGGGGAACAUAUUGUGUAGAAACACAGGACCGAGAAUUCUAAUCUCUUCGACUAGGUGAACUAGGAGGUGUGUCAUUAUAUUGAAGAAGGAUGGCGGGAACAACAACUCAAAGCUGACCAGACAUUGGACCACAUCAAUCUGUAACCCUGAUAGACUUUCUCGAUCGAUUACCUUCUGAGAAAUUGCAUUGAGGAAUGCACAUACCUUCACAAUUGCCAGGCGAACAUUUUCCGGUAGAAUUCCCCUCAAUGCAACCGGAAGCAAUUGCGUCAUAAGCAUGUGGCAGUCAUGAGACUUUAGGUCUUGGAAUUUUUUGUCUUUCAUAUUUAUGAUUCCCUUUAUAUUCGACGAGAAGUCAGUCAGGACCUUGAUACUGAAAAGGACUUCAAAGAAGAUUUCCUUCUCUUCCUUAGUAAGAGCGUAGCUGGCACGCCCUUGAAACUGCCCUGGAUGCAUGCCAUCUCUUCCUUUAUGACGUUCCUGGUCCUCCCGUGCUUCCGGUGUAUCUUUUGACUUCCCAUACAAGCCCAGGAAGCCUUGAAUAUUCACGCAGAGAUUCUUCGUCAGGUGCAUCACGUCGAUUGCCGAGCGGACCUCAUGGACUUCCCAGUAGGGUAGCUCCCAAAAUAUAGAUUUCUUCUUCCACAUGGGUACGCGCUUAUCAGGGCCGUUAGGAACAGGUUGGCUGCCAGGACCCUUUCCAAAGAUUACUUUUAAAUCUUUGACCAUAUCAAAUACUUCAGCACCAGUACGGAUGACAGGCUUCCCCCGGGGUUCUGCCUUGCCAUUGAAAUGNNNNNNNNNNAGACCCUUUCCAAAGGUUACUUUUAAAUCUUUGACCAUAUCAAAUACUUCAGCACGAGUACGGAUGACAGGCUUCCCCCGGGGUUCUGCCUUGCCAUUGAAAUGCUUGACUUUUUUCUUUAAGGGAUGCUUGGGCGGAAGAAAACAACGAUUGUACGGAUACACAUUCUUCCUACAGUUGUCGAGAUAUAUACUUUCUGUCUGAUCCAAACAGUGCGUGCAUGCAUUGUAUCCCUUGUUUAACUGUCCUGAAAUGUUACUAAGAGCAGGCCAAUCAUUGAUGGUUACGAAAAGCAACUCUCGAAGGUCAAAUUCCUCUUGUUUGUGCUCGUCCCACACACGUACACCUGGUUCGGCCCACAGCUGUAAAAGUUGAUCAACUAAUGGCCUUAGGUACACAUCAAUAUCGUUGCCGGGUUGCUUUAGACCUUGUAUAAGCACUGGCAUCAUAAUAAACUUCCGCUUCAUGCACAACCAAGGAGGAAGGUUGUAGAUACAUAGAGUAAUGGACCAGGUGUUGUGACUGCAACUCUGCUCCCCAAAAGGAUUCAUGCCAUCUGUACUCAGACCUAACCAUAAGUUCCUUGCGUCUGCUGCAAAUCUCGGGAACUCUCUCUUGAUUUUUCUCCACUGCCGACCAUCAGCGGUGUGCCUCAACUUAUCGUCUUUCAUACAAUCUUCCAUGUGCCAUCGCAACAACUUCGCAUGAUCUUUAUUUCUGAACAGACGUUUCAACCGUGGUAUUAUAGGAGCAUACCACAUCCCCUGGCAGGAACCGUCUUCCUGGGUGGCUCGCCCUCAAUAUCACCAGGGUCAUCUUUUCUGAUCUUAUACCGCAAUGCAGUCUAUACCGGGCAUUUAUCCAUAUUCUCGUACUUCUCACCUCGGUAGAGGAUGCAUUCAUUAGGGCAUGCAUGUAUCUUCUGCACGUCUAAUCCUAGAGGGCAGACAAGCUUCUUUGCUUCGUACGUGCUGGCGGGCAAUUCGUUCUUUCUUGGAAGCAUCUUCUUCAUCAGUACCAGCAACUUUUCGAAUGACGAGUCAGUCACACCGGUCUCUGUCUUCCACUUCAGCAAUUCCAGUGUGCUACCCAGCUUCUUCUGGCCAUCUUCACAAGUUGGGUACAACAAUUUGUUGUGGUCCUGUAACAUCUGCUCGAACUGCAACCUCUCCUUUUCUAUGUCGCAACCUCGCCGUGCAUCAGAAAUGACCCGGCCAAGAUCAUCAGCGGGCUCAUCUGGUUCCCGUUCUUCAUCCUGAUCUUCUUCUUCAUUGUCUUGCAUUGCGGUAUCAGCAUACUCAGGGAACAUAGAUCGGUAGUUGUCAUCAUCGUUCUCUUCUUCUUCAUCGUCGCCUUCCAUCAUAACCCCUCUUUCUCCGUGCUUGGUCCAAACAUUAUAGCCCGACAUAAAACCGGACCGAAGCAGGUGGCUCUGAAUGACUCUUGAGGAAGUGUAAUCCUUCCAAUUCGACAUUCAACACAUGGACAAAACAUAUAGCCACCACCAUGCUUGUUCGCAUUGGCUGCAUCUCGAAAAGAAUGCACGCCUUCUCUGUAAGCGGCUGUGCGUCGAUCACCGUACAUCCAUGGAUGGCUCAUCUCUGCGUUAUACGACAGUAUAUCAAAUACAAUCACGAUCCUAAAAAUUAGUACCGCACGAUCUAAACGAGGAAAUAUAGUUGCUAACCUUUUAGAAUAAGUAGAAAUAAAGAGGAAGAGGUUUAAGCGUGGCUUGGGCAUCUCAUAUCGUAGUUGUAUUCGGUGAACUGAAGCGGCAUCGCUCUAACACACAUUUCAACAAACACCUCUAGUGCAUAAAAAAAAGUGGAGAGCAAGCACCCACCCACAAUCCUCCAUCCAAUAAAAAUGCAACGAAGAGGGGAGAGGGGGGCUGUGCUAUAUAUAGGCAGAGGACUUUAGUCCCGGUUUGAGACACAAACCGGGACUAAAGGUGGCGCACAUGCGGGCUGCCCACCGCGUAGCCCUUUACUCCCGGCUUGGGACACGAACCGGGACUAAAGGCUCCUUACGGGCCGGGACUAAAGCCUCGAGGGAGGAUAUGAGAAUUGGGGCGACGUAGCCGGGCCUUUAGUUCCGGCCCAGAGGCAGGCCGGGACUAAAGGGUACAGGCCAAAGGCCCGGUUUCUACUAGUGUAUGUGUCCAGCCCUGCCAACGAGCCAGUAUAAUACACCAGAGUACGAAAGAUAUAAUAUACACAUGAAAUCAAAACCAUACAGCUCUUAUAUGUGUCUCCCGUGACCGUGAUGAUCAGGGUAUGCCAGCCCCUAGAGCUUCCAUGCCAGAUAUAUUCCUUUGUCCGAUGCUAUGCUCCAGAUUAUUAUGGCCACACUUGUAAACCAAUCAAAUAUUUAUAUGCAAACAGCAGACAACAUGCAUAUAGGAGUAUCUUCUUGGAAACUAAAGGAAACUCUCAUGGCACAGCUCCCAGGAUUUUGUUCAUUAGUGAAGAGCAGAUUAAGCUCCAAUGAUGAAUGUCACACACGUAACAUGCCAGUACAAUAAUGGUUGCACAUGAGUUUUGGAAACUACCACGGCAAGAAUGAAACUAAUUACCUCGAUUGAUAAUGACAUGAACGAGGCACUUGCACACCACACCCGGUCUAUAAGUACCACCCCCAAACAACCCAAGAAAACCAUCCCAAGCUACCAUAGCCUACAAGCUUAAUUAGCCAUAUACCAGCACGAUCCAUCAGUAGCAAUGGCGCCUUCCAAGCUCGCCUUCUUCCUCGCUCUGAACCUGGUCCUCCUUGCCGCCGUGCAGGGCUGCGGUCCCUACUGCCCACCGGUCNNNNNNNNNNGGCGCCCUCCAAGCUCGCCCUCUUCCUCGCCCUGAACCUGGUCCUCCUUGCCGCUGUGCAGGGCUGCGGCCCCUACUGCCCACCGGUCGUCCCCACCCCGCCGAUCCUCCCACCACCCGUGCCGUCGACCGACGGAGGCAGCUGCUCGAUCAACACGCUGAAGCUGGGCGUGUGCACCAACGUGCUGAACCUGCUGAAGCUUAAGAUUGGCGUGCCGGCGAACGAACAGUGCUGCCCACUCCUGGGCGGGCUCGCCNNNNNNNNNNGCUGCUCGAUCAACACGUUGAAGCUGGGCGUGUGCGCCAACGUGCUGAACCUGCUGAAGCUCAAGAUCGGCGUGCCGGCGAACGAGCAGUGCUGCCCACUCCUGGGCGGGCUCGCCGACCUCGACGCCGCGGUGUGCCUCUGCACCGCCAUCAGGGCCAACAUCCUCGGCAUCAAGCUCAACGUCCCCAUCGACCUGACCCUCCUCCUCAACCAGUGCGGCAAGAAGUGCCCAACCAACUUCACCUGCCCCAUCUGAUGCAUCCAUCCAUUGCAUGGGCUCCCUCGCUCGUGCAUGCAUGCUUGAUAAGCUCGUGAUUGAUCAUCAGGGUCAUUGUAUCCCGUUAUGGUAUCUAAAUGCACGAUUUGCAUAUUUGUAAAAGGAUAUACAUACUUGUACACGCACCUUGGAAUAUAAAAUUUGUUCAAGUUGGGGUUUUCUCUCUUCCCUCUCGGCUGGAACCCUAGCCCUCCUCGUCAAGAGAAAAGAUCAUCCUAGUGUAUGUAGCUUAGUAAAUAUACCCUAGCCCUCCUCGGCACAAAAAAUCUUAUGUAACUUAGGAACAAGGCAGGAUCUAAGAAUCAUUUUUNNNNNNNNNNCAACACGUUGAAACUGGGCGUGUGCGCCAACGUGCUGAACCUGCUGAAGCUCACUCCUGGGCGGGCUCACCGACCUCGACGCUGCCGUGUGCCUCUGCACCGCCAUCAGGGCCAACAUCCUCGGCAUCAAGCUCAAUGUCCCCAUCGACCUCACCCUCCUACUCAACCAGUGCGGCAAGAAGUGCCCCGCCAACUUCACCUGCCCCAUCUGAUCCAUCUAUCCAUGGAUUUACUCGUAGCUAUAUAUUGCAUGUCAUACGCGCGCACCAUAUGUCAGGACUUUGCAUGGGCUCCCUCGCUCGUGCAUGCAUGCUUGAUAAGCUCGUGAUNNNNNNNNNNNNNNNNNNNNNNNNNNNNNNNNNNNNNNNNNNNNNNNNNNNNNNNNNNNNNNNNNNNNNNNNNNNNNNNNNNNNNNNNNNNNNNNNNNNNNNNNNNNNNNNNNNNNNNNNNNNNNNNNNNNNNNNNNNNNNNNNNNNNNNNNNNNNNNNNNCUACUUGUACACGUACCUUGGAAUAUAAAGUUUGUUCAAGUUGGGUUAACUCGACUCGUGAUAUGCCAGCUUGAGUUGUAUAUUCAUGCAUGAUUGCAUCAAUCAUGAUCAGAUCCACAUCUUUCCACAUGCAUUAGCUACAUC